CGGCAAUCCCUUGCAUUCUUUUGAAACAUCUUUUGCUAUAUCAAGCAGAGAAGGAUCGUCGACUGAAUUACCGACUUUCUCCUUGAAAAGCAUCCAUGCUUCCUCUUCAGGUAAAGUUUCGAUUUCCAUGAUCUUCUGUGCCUUCAUUAUAUCACAAACAGGUCGGAGACGUGUCGUCAAUAUAACAUUGCACCGGUAGUUGUGGUUGCUACCGGUAGAAAUUCCGAGUUUCUCUAGAUCAUAAAGAGCCUCCCAAACAUCAUCCAAGAUUACAAGAGUACGGCUGUUGUGAACCAUUAACCUUGUACGCAGCAGAUCGCCACGACUCCACAAAUCAUCCCCUUGUAAUGUAAGUCCGACCCCUCUUGCGAUCUCCUCCUGAAUUGUUUUAGGGUCCUGUUGUUGACUGACAAUUACCAUAACAACAUCAUUGAACAACUCUUCUUGUUUCGCCUUUCGUCUGAUUUUUUCAGCCAGUGACGUCUUACCAACACCACCCAGACCGCAUGUCCCAAUAAUUGUGACCCCGUCAUCGUUCAAAGCUGCCAUGACCUCAUCCUCUUGCAAUUUUCUAGAAUCAAACUCCUCAGCGCUGUUGAUAGGUAGAGGUUCAUUUUCAACAGCAGGAUAGCAGAAAACAGCAUAACUGUUGCCUUCAUUUUGAAGUUCAAUCAAAUCCAAUGCAAUUUUCUUAGCUCUCCUGCUCAGGAGGCAACGUGACUUAAAGUUUGGACACCAAUCAUAUCUAUCAACCUCAUUUCUACCUCGUCGCGUUACAUCUGCCACCUUAGCAGUAAUGGUAGCAACACUAGCAAACCAAGCCUCAACAUUGGGUGAAAUGACGUGUAAGUUUCUCCGGUUAGCCUUGGCUCUUUGAUCCACCCCAAUUCUGAUAUUCUUCAGCUUCUCAGAUUCAUUUUCCAUACAUGUGAUGUUUCUCUUGUAGUAAACAAAAUACCCGAUCCCUUGCACAACUGGCUUUAUCAAGCAAUCUGUUACCUUGUCCACAAAAACAGAUAAGAAUUCCAUAUUUGAUUUCUUAGUUACAAAGUAGAAUGAAAAUAGGUUGAGAGUGAAUUGAAAGCUGAUAAUUGCAGGACUACUAUUAUUAACAGCUAAAUUAUUGAGGGAAAAGGGAUAAUUGCAUUUUUUCAAACGUGGACCUGCACUAUCUUGAAAGUGACUAAACAACAAACACAUCAACACCAACAUCUAAAUAAUUGAGGCACUUUACAGCUAAAAUUGUUGGAAGUUAGCUUUGUUUUUUUUCGAACUUUCUUUCACAUAGACCAAACAACAAACACAUUAACACCAAUAUCCAAAUGUCUCUAUUUGUUUAAUUUCAUAUAAAUUUAAGUGUGUACAUAUUAAAUUUUAAAAUUGAAUAUAUAUAUCAUAUCAUAUCUCAUAUCAUAUUCAUAUAUUACUAAAAGCAUGAACAAAAAAGUUAAAAAUUGAAUUACUAUUUUACCCCCUUUUAUAAAUUAAAUUGUUAUUAAAUAUUUAAAUAUUUAAUUGUAUAAAUUUAAUCAAAAUGUUAAUGACUUUUAGACUUCUUAAGAUUAAUUUCUAAUUAAAUAUCGAAUUAAUUAAUAUUUAUUAUUUAUAAUCUAUAUGUAUAUAGUAAUUAUAUAUUUUUUUAAAAAAUGGUCUCUACCAAAAUUGCUAUAUUUUUCCUCUUCUCAUAAUUUUUUCCUUAACCCCUCUAAUGAAUAAUAUAAUUUAUGUGGUUAAAGUACUAUCCUUAAUGAUAAAUAACGAAAUUUAUUAAUUUAAAGGUUGCAAAUCUGCAAAAUGGAGACACACAUUGAUACUGUCUUCUUGACUAUUAUUAAAGAAUGACUUUAUCUUCACAAAUUUAAAUUCAUUAACGCUUAUUACGUGAUAAGAACUUUAGUUGUUCUUUCUACAUGGUUUGCUAAUUUUAAUUUUUUUUCUUCAUAUUCUUCAUAUAUUUAUUAUUAUUUUCUAAUUACUUAUUUAACUUUUAUACUCUUAAUAUUCAUAACUAUCAUCUUUUCAUAUUUAUAACCUCCAAAUAUUUAAACUAAAAUUUUAAGAUUUCUUUUGAUAUUCCUUCUAUUCUAUCUAUAUAAAUUCAACUUCUUUAUCUCAUGAAACUCCUACCAAGAUUAUUAGGCUAUCAUUUUUAUUCUAUAGUUAAAGUAGAUGAAGAAGCCUCUUAAAUUUUGAUAGGAUAUGGAAGGAGUGGACAAGAACUCAGAGAGUUAUGUAUUAAUUUUGUACUGAUUUUUUCAUGUCUACAUUAUAUUUUUUCUUAAAUCUGUUUCUUUUUGUCUUUUUUUUUUCCAUUAAACUUCUUAAUUUAGUUUUCUAUGAAUGUUAUAUUGCAUAAGUUUUUAUUCUUAUUUUGUAAUUGUUACAUUUUAUUAUUCAUUACAAUUUACAUAUAUAUUUCCAUGAAACUUUACUCAUUCUAAUGUAUCUAUAAAAAUUCACAUAGAACACACGUGCGAAGCACGUCCUCAGAAUCUAGUAUUUCUAAAAAUAGGAAGUUCCUAACCUCAAAAUUGAAUUAUCAUUUUACUCUUAAAAUAAAGUACUAUUUAAUUAAAUACUAUCUAAUUAGUGCUCCCUCCGUCUCUUUUUAUUUGUCCACUUUUCCUUUUAUAGUUGCUUCUAAUUACUUGUCCAUUUUGACAAAUCAAGAAAUGAUAAUUUUUUAACCUAUUAUACCAUCAAUUUAAUGACUAAUUACUUUGAAAUAUGUAGAACUUUUCAUCCACUUCAUAAUUAAUAAGAGUAAAAUGACUACGUCAUUAGUUAUUUUUAAUAGAUGUGUCAAUUCAAAAAUAGACAAAUAAAAAGGAACGAAGGGAGUAAAUAGUAAUCAUUAUUAUAAAACUUUUCCAUUCAAAAAUAAUAUUACUUCUCUACGUCAUCAAUUAAUCAUUAUAUCCAUGUGGAGAAGAUAGAAAGUUGAAAAAGUAAUUCAAAUGUAGACCAAAUUCAUUGGAUUAUAUAAAUUUGUGAAGUGUUUGCCAAAAUUAUGUGAUCAUAAUUUGGUCAGAACUGAAAAAAAGAGACUAAUUUAACCUUUUCUCUUUCAAAAUAAAGUUAUAGUCUAUAUUACCACUAUUUUUCUAAACGUAUAGAAAUGCUUGUGAACAACAAUAUUAUGUUUAAUAAACUUUAUAAUAUGGACUUAUUACAAUCUAACUUUAUCUUCUUUUAAUAUUUCCUAAUUUACUCUUUUUCUUGUUCCUUUUUCUUCAUCUUUUUGUUAUCCUUUAUCUUUUCUUUUUCAUUAGAUGUAAAAAUAUAAUUCCAUAAAAUAUUUUUGUAUAAAGUUUAUCAAAGACUUUUUAAUUUUAAACUUGAAAAAUAACAUUUAUUUAUUUUUAUUAUAUACAAAUCAUCCAAUUCUAAAAUCAGGCACACAAAAACAAUAUUCAUUCAUGUCUAGCUUUAUAACACAAAAUUUGUUGAAAUAACAUUACAUUUGUUUUUUUAAUUUUAAUUUCAUUAUAGUAAAUUGAAUACACUAUCAUCAAAAUUUAAAAUAAUAUGGUUUGAUUAUUUGUUUUUCUUCACGUCGGACUCAUUUGAAUAUUAUAUUUCAUAAUCAUCUUCUGAAAUAGAUAAAAUAUUUUUAUAAUAAACUAUAAAAAUUAUUAUUUUCAGAUAACAACAAAUCUUUUUAAAUAAAGUUGUACUUUAAUGCGAUAAAUACAGAAAAAUAAGUUUUGUGGGGAUAAUUUAUAAUUAGAUGAAUUUUAUGUAUUAAAAAUAAGAAAGUAAUUCUCUUGUUAUAAUUUUUUUGAUAUCUUUGAUUGUUAAAUGGGGUCGUCUCUUAUGAACCAUAUGAGUUUAAGUAUUUCUAUAAUGUGUUGAUGUCUACUAAUUUUAAGUAUUUUGAGUUUGAUUGUCGUUAUUAAAAUAUUUUAAAUUUUAUGCAUGGCUUAAUUUUUUUUUAAAAAUAUAAUAAUUACUACAAUUACCUAAUUAAUUAGAGCUCAUAUUAAUCAUAAAUAUAAGUAAUGAUAUCAAAUCAUCAAAUUGACAUAAUAAAUGAUCACAAAACUACAAUAUUAAUGAUUGGCUCUGUUGGUUUGUUAUCUAGGGUUUGAUAUAUAUGAACUAGAGUGUUUUGAGUUCCGACUGUUAUUAUUAAACUAUUUUACAUUAGAUUAAAAAAUUAUGUAAAAUGUAAUUUAAAUUUAUCUAUAUAAUAAUACAUUAAAAUUACUUAAUUUUAUAAAUUCAUGUUUAGUUUCAAAAAAAAUAUUAAUUUUAGGGAAAAGUAAUAUUAGUAUUAUGACUACAACUAUGUAAACUAAAUAUUUAACAUAUCAUUUCAUAACAAACAUUUUUGUGAUAAAACUAUAAAUAAUACUAAUAAAGAAAAAUAUAUAUGUUAUGAAACUUCGAUAAUUCGUGCUUAACAAAUUUGUAUUGUCAUUAUCAUUGGAGAACUAUGAAGAUGAUUUUCUUUCAUUUUUUUGAUAAAAAAAUUAUUUUGAAAUCAUAAAGAACUUUCUAUAUCUGUUAUGUGUUAUUAUAAUUUUUAAAUGAAGAUCCAUCAACAUUUUUAUCCAAAAAAAAAAAUUGUAUGUGUCUCUACUACUCAAAUAAAAAAAAUAUUAAUUUUAAGGAGGUUUUAUUUGUGUAUGAUACGACUCAUAUACAAACGAGAAUAUGAAGACAAUUACAUAAUAGGAGAAACAUUAUUGUAGUUUCAAUUUUCUUCAUAUUUCACUCACAUACGUUCUAAGUAUAAGUAGAUGAAAUAUACUUUUAUUAUUUAACUUCUUUCUAGAAAUUUGAUGCGUAAGUCAUAGCAACAACUUCUUUAAAUAAAUAGGAGUAUUCGUUUUGCCAACUCAGUUAAUUUCAAAUUUUUAAUUUUGAAUAUUAUAGAUAUAAAUUUUUAAUUUUGAACAUUAUAGAUAUAAUUUUGCCAACGCACGUGUAUCCUAUCUAAAGUGAUAUAAAAUAUUUUAAAUAACUAAAAUAUAAAAAAUCAUCUUACAAUUAAAUUACUAUAAUAUCGUUCAUUUUUACAAGAAAAGUUCAAAUAUUUGAGAUCUUUUCUUUGAUACCAACAUGUGUAACAAAUUGAAAUAUGAUAGCAUAGUAUCUCUCGCCGAGCUAAAAGAGAGAUGAAAAUACUUCUUAUUUUAAAAUAUUAUAAUUACGAAGGAAACGAUGUAUAUUAUUAUCUAACAUACGAAUCAUCUACAAGACAAAAUUCAUAAAAAAGACAAAAAAAAAUUUGAAAAGACAAUAGUUAUUGGUAAAGUUAUAACAUAAAUGAAGGUUGCAAUUAACCUUCAAUAUUGAUUUUUUUCAUUAUAAAGGAAUAUCAAACAUUGAAUGCUACGAACUGAAUUUUUUAAAAAGAUUAGCUUUGGAUAUAGAAAGAUGAGUGACAACUUGGAUGUCAAAAUGUAUGAAAAGUUAAAAACUGAAUUUACGUUUCUCAAAAUAAGAUAAAAGAAAAAAAAUAUAAAUGAAGAAAUUAUAUCAUGACUUCUUCCAUGAAAGGAGUAAUUUAUUGUUAAUCUGAUUAAACGUUACAUUUCUAUCUCAAAUUAUUUGUUGUUUCUAUCUUACACAUUCCUUAGAAAAUAUUAAUUAACAGAAGUAGAUUAAAAAAAUAUAAUACAUUACACUCUUACACGCCCUUUAAAAAUCAACUCAACAUAUAUAAGUAACCAAAUCUUAAAACAAAUUAAAUAAUUUUUAUCAUCAAUUAAUCUAGUACAAUAAUGUAAUAAAAAAAAGGAACAAUAAAAUUACAUUUUUAAAAGUUAUAAAUUACUUUGCAAAAGUAUAUUAAUAGUGUCAUGAUCUAAUGCAUGUCUCUGUAUUUUACUUCAAAUAAGAGAAACUAUAUAAUAAAAUAAAAAAUAAAACAUAUCUAAUUGUUUUAUAUACAAUGAUGUCUACUUCAUGGUAGGAGUAUAUCGAGAGUGUCAUGAUCUUAUGCGUGAUCAUUUAUUUUACAUUUGAAGAAGAGAAAAAUUAUACUAAUUAAAAUAAAAAAAUAACAAAUUGAUCUUAGUCUUCACAUAAACCAAUCUAUUAAAAUUGUUCUUCAAAUACUUUAUGUAACGACCUGUUUAGUCAUUUUGAGCAGCAGAUUUUAUUUCUGGAAAAAACUGGCUGAGACGACGGAUUCCACGACGGACCGCCAUGGGCACGACGGACCGUCGAGGGGGUAUCGUUCCAAAACACUUAGAAUUCUGAAAUUUGGGUACUGAAAUCGACUCUCUGAACUUCGUGACAGAAUGGCAGGACGGACCGUCGUGGGCACGACGGACCGUCACACAUUUUCCACAGAAAUUAACUCUCUGAACUUUGGGACGCACCUGCAGGACGGACCGUCACAGGUUGCGUAACCCAGGCUGGGUCGGAUUUCUAUUAAAAGUUUUUAAGGGGCGUUUUGGACUAUUCCUGCUAUAAUUAUAAAUUUAGUGGGUUAAUGUUAAUAAUUGAACUACUUGGGGGUUAAAAGAGAUAACCUUGAAAUAAAUAAUUGGUUAAUUCAUCAUCUUUAAUACUUAAUUAUAUGCUAACUAGGGUAAAAGAAAAAGGGUUUAAAUAAGAAAAAUAGAAAGAACAAAGAGAAAGAGAGGAACGAUCGAUCGAGAGAGAGGGAAAGAACGCGAGGAAAGCAAAGCUUUGGGGAAAGUAGAUUGCUUGAUCACAAUUCUUCGGUGGAGGUAGAUUAUGGUUUAUGCUAUUCAUAGUAAACUCUUAAUAGCGAAUGAUAUGUAUUGGGUAGUAUUAUAAAGUCUUCUAUGUGCUUAAUUGUGUGCUUGCAUGAUAUGAAUAUUCUAAUUGUGAUGAAUUAGCAUGAUGAGGCUGUUGAAUCUUAAACCCUAAUCUACUUUGUUAAUGAUAAUGCCUUGGUCUAAAAGAAGGCUUGAUGGACUAAAGUAGUGAGAUUAGGGGAUCGGGUGUCACGUUCCGACACCAGGAUAGUAAUAGAGGAUCGGGUGUCACGUUCCGACACCAGGAUAGUAUAUGAGGAUCAGAGUGUCACGUUCCGACACCAGGAUAGUAUAUGGAUUGGGUGUCACGUUCCGACACCAGGAUAGUAUAUGAAUCGGGUGUCACGUUCCGACACCAGGAUAGUAUAUGAGGAUCGGAGUGUCACGUUCCGACACCAGGAUAGUAUAUGAGGAUCGGAGUGUCACGUUCCGACACCAGGGUAGUAUAUGAGGAUCAGAGUGUAGCGUUCCGACACCGGGAUAGUAUAUGGAGCGGAGUGUCACGUACCGACACGAGAGGAAUAAAGAUAAUGAAUCUUGAAAUAUGCUAAUAUACUUAAUCUAAAGAACUAAUUCCCAAAUGAGUAUGGUGUGGAGGCUUGAGUCCUCAUUGAUGUGAGUAGUGUUGUUGCAAAUGAUUCUUAUGCGUAAUGCUAUCACCUGUUAAGUAUUUGAUUGGUUUUAUGUUAUUAUCUGAUAUAUACUGUUUUCUAUUUUGAGUUGGCCGAUGAUACCUACUCAGUACUUGUGUUUUGUACUGACCACUACUUGUAUUCUUUUUCUUUGUUAAUUGUGGAGUGCAGCAAACAUACCGUCGUCUUCAACUCAACCGCAACUCUAGUCAGUCUUCAUCAAGCCAGAUUUCAGGGUGAGCUAUUGCUUCUAGCUUGGACUAGAUCUUCCUCUUCAUGUCUUGAUGCCUUGAAAUCCCGGCAUGGACUAGCUUUUUACUUAUUUUAGCUUCUUAGAAUACUCUUAGUUUAGUAAUUUGAGGAUAGAUGUUCUUUUGGUGAUGACUUCCAGAUUCUGGGGGAAAAUGAUUGAUAAAUUUAGAAGUUAUUUAAUUGGUUUUGUUAAUGAGUUUUAAGUCUUCCGCAUUGUAUUUUGUUCAUUAUGUUUGAAAUGUUGGGGUUUAGAUUGGUUGGUUCGCUCACAUAGUUGGAUAAGUGUGGGUGCCACUCACGGCUCGUUUUGGGUCGUGACAAACUUGGUAUCAGAGCAUUAGGUUCGUUGGUCUCAUCACACAAGAACGAGUCUAGUAGAGUCUUAAGGAAUGGUAGGGGGACGCCUUUACUUUUCUUUGAGAGGCUAUAAGACUUUAGGAAAAUUCUAUUCUUUCUUUCUUUCUUUCGUGCUAUUACUUGGAUCCAAUUGGUAUCUAGGUGAUACAAAUUGGUAUCGGACCAUCUUCACUCUAUUUCACAGAUGCUUAGAACUAGAGCAACAACCGCGCCAACACCAACACCGGCAAGACAAGAUGCAACUGAGCCAGCCACUGGGGCUGUAGCUCGAGGAGGAUUAGUGGCAAGAGACCGUGGUAGAGGUCGCGGGAGGAUGUCCUCUGGAGGAAGAGGAUCAGCACCUGGCCCAUCUAGUACUAGGGCAGAAACUCCUCCACCGACGGAGGAGGUAGUAAGAGAGGGUGAGGAAGGGGAGAAUGAACAAGUGCAGAAUGAGGAAUUACCACCCCAACCUACCCCAGAGAUGAUUAAUCAGGUUCUUGCUUAUCUUAGUGGGUUAUCUGAUCAAGGCCAGACACUUCCAGUGUUUUCUGCACCAGCCCCUCAGGUUCCGAAAGUACGACAGGCCGCUGCAGAGGCUCCCCGUAUGGAUGCCUCAUUGGAAAUAGGCAUGUUCCCUCGUUUGACUACAGGGCCCACAAUGACAAGUGAUCAGCAUAACUUUUCAGUAAGUUCUUGAAAUUGAAACCUCCAGUCUUUAAGGGUGCUGAAUCUGAGGAUGCCUAUGAUUUUCUGGUCGACUGUCAUGAGUUGCUACAUAAGAUGGGCAUAGUGGAACGAUUUGGCAUCGAGUUUGUAACCUAUCAAUUUCAGGGAAAUGCCAAAAUGUGGUGGCGGUCACAUGUUGAGUGUCAACCCGCACAGGCACCACCUAUGACUUGGGCAUCAUUCUCUAUCUUGUCUAUGGAGAAGUAUAUCCCCCGAACCUUGAGGGAUAGGGGGAGAGAUGAGUUCUUGAGCCUAGAGCAAGGUAGGAUGUCGAUUACUGCGUAUGAGGCUAAGUUUCGUGCAUUAUCCAGGUAUGCCACCCAACUUUGUUUUAGUCCACUAGAGCGAAUUCGCUGUUUUGUGAUGGGGUUGAGGUCAGAAUUGUGGAUUUCAGCCUUACAGGUAGCGGCUACAGCAAAAUCCUUUCAAGAAGUGGUAGACUUCGUGAUAGAGGUGGAGGGAGUGAAGCCACAUGACUUCACCAUGGCAUCGACAUCAAAAAGGUUUCGUAAGGGAGGUGAGUUUAAUGGUUCUUACUCUAGAGGGCAGGGUUCAGGAGGUUAUCCAGUCCGACCCAUUCAGUCUGCGCUACAGGCUGUAGUUGAGGGUCCACCUCAGACCAGUCAACAUUUCUCUGAGGUUGGAGGUUAUUCCCAAACUUCGUCAUUCUCACAGAUACCGAUGCUUGAAUCCAGAGAGUGUUAUGGAUGUGGGGAGACUAGACACAUUAAGAGGUAUUGUCCAAAACAGAGUUACAUACUUCCCAUAGUCAGAGGUAGAGGUGCUCAUGGAGAGGCCUUCAUUCUGGAGGACGUGGUGGUCGAGGUAAUGGUGGUCACCAAAAUGGCCGGGGUGACGGGCAAACUGGAGCCACUACAGCACAACAUGGUAGGGGCAACGGGCAGACAGGCGAUAGGGCCCAUUGUUACGCUUUCCCCGGGUGGUCUGUAGCGGCGACAUCUGAUGGUGUUAUCACAGGUAAUCUUUUGGUUUGUGAUUGCAUGGCUUCUAUAUUAUUUGAUCCCGGCUCCACAAUUUCAUAUGUAUCUUCCUCAUUUGUUACUGGUCUUAAUUUACCUUGUGAAUUGCUUGACAUGCCUAUUCGUGUGUCAACUCCGGUGGGUGAGUCUGUGAUAGUUGAAAGGGUAUAUAGGUCUUGUCUGGUGACGUUUGUGGGGAGCAAUACUCAUGUAGACUUGGUUAUCUUAGAAAUGGUCGACUUUGAUGUAAUUCUGGGUAUGACUUGGCUUUCUCCGAAUUUUGCGAUCUUAGAUUGUAAUGCAAAAACUGUAACAUUGGCCAAGCCUGGGACAGAUCCGUUAGUGUGGGAGGGUGACUACACUUCCACUCCAGUACGUAUCAUCUCCUUUCUUCGUGGUAAGAGAAUGGUUAGUAAAGGGUGUUUAGCUUUCUUGGCACACCUCAGGGAUGAUACUACCCAAGUACCUUCAAUUGAGUCGAUUUUGAUAGUCCGUGAGUUUCUGGAUGUGUUUCCUUCAGACUUUCCUGGUAUGCCACCGGAUAGAGAUAUUGAUUUUUGCAUUGAUCUUGAACCGGGUACCGCUCCAUUUCCAUACCCCUUUAUAGAAUGACUCCCGCUGAGUUUAGGGAUUUAAAGGCUCAACUUCAGGAACUGUUAGGUAAAGGCUUCAUUAGACCAAGUGCAUCCCCAUGGGGUGCUCCUGUUUUUGUUUGUGAAAAAGAAGGAUGGAAGCUUUCGGAUGUGCAUAGAUUACAGACAACUGAAUAAGGUAACUGUUAAGAACAAGUAUCCUCUUCCUCGCAUUGAUGAUUUGUUCGAUCAAUUACAAGGUGCUUGUACCUUCUCAAAAAUCGAUUUGAGAUCCGGUUACCAUCAAUUGAAAAUACGGGCAACAGAUGUGCCCAAGACUGCUUUUCGGACAAGGUAUGGACAUUAUGAGUUCUUAGUAAUGUCUUUUGGGCUUACGAAUGCCCCUGCUACUUUCAUGAGCUUGAUGAAUGGGAUUUUUAAGCCAUAUCAGGAUCUCUUUGUCAUUGUAUUCAUUGAUGAUAUAUUGGUAUACUCAAAGAGCAAGAAGGAACAUGAGGAGCACUUGAGAAUUGUAUUGGAAAUGUUGAGGGAGAAAAAGCUUUAUGCCAAAUUCUCCAAGUGUGAGUUUUGGCUAGAUGCAGUGUCCUUCUUGGGGCAUGUGGUUUCUAAGGACGGAGUGAUGGUGGAUCCUUCUAAGAUUGAGACAGUGAAGAAUUGGGUAAGACCUACUAAUAUGUCAGAAAUAAGGAGCUUUGUUGGUUUAGCCAGCUACUACCGUCGAUUUGUCAAGGGAUUCUCUUCUAUUGCUUCCCAAUUGAAAAAUUUAACCAAGCAGAGUGUCCCAUUUUUAUGGUCGGAUGAGUGCGAAGAAAGCUUUCAGAAGCUCAAAACCUUGUUGACUACUGCACCAAUUCUUACCCUGCUAGUGGAAGGUAAGAAUUUUAUCAUUUAUUGUGAUGCAACCUAUUCUGGCUUGGGUGCAGUGCGAAUGCAAGAGAAGAAUGUAAUUGCUUAUGAUUCAAGGAAAUUAAAGGUGCACGAACGUAAUUACCCGACCCAUGAUUUGGAGUUGGCCGCGGUAGUGUUUGUAUUAAAACAAUGGAGGCACUAUCUAUAUGGAGUUAAGUGUGAAGUCUAUACGGAUCAUCGUAGCCUACAGUAUGUCUUUACUCAAAAAGAUUUGAAUUUGAGACAGAGGAGAUGGAUGGAACUACUGAAGGACUACGAUAUUACUAUUUUGUAUCAUCCGAGAAAAGCUAAUGUUGUGGCAGAUGCUUUAAGUAGAAAGGCAGGAAACAUGAGUGUAACGACCUGUUUAGUCGUUUUGAGCAGCAGAUUUUAUUUCUGGAAAAACAGGCUGAGACGACGGAACCCAUGAAGGACCGUCAUGGGCACGACGGACCGUCGCAGGGUCUCGUUUCAAAACACUUAGAAAAUCUGAAAUUGGGUACUGAAAAUCGACUCUCUGAACUUCGUAACGGAAUGGCAGGACGGACCGUCACAUACCCUUCAGAGAAAUUGAGUCUCUGAAGUCUGUGACGGAGCAGCAGGACGGACCGUCACAGGCACGACGGGCCGUCACAGGCUGCGUAGCCCCAGGAUGGGGCGGAUUUCUGUAAUUUUUUCAAGGGGCGUUGUUUACUAUUCCUGCUUUAAUCAUAAAGUUAGUGGUUUAAUGUUAAUAAGUCUAAUUACUUGGGGGUUAAAAGAGGUAACCUUAAGUUAAUUAGUGGGUUAUUAUUGCCAUCUUUUAUUCUUAAAUAUAUACUAAUUAGGGUAAAAGAAAGAGGGUUUGAAUAAAGAAAAUAGAAAGAACAAAGAGAAGGAAAGAAAAACGAUAGAGAGAGGAUCGAACGAGAGGAAAAACACAAAGCUUGAGAAAUCGCUUGCUUGAUCACGAAUCUUCGCUGGAGGUAGGUUAUGGUUUAUGCUAUUUGAUAGUAAACUCUUAAUAGCGAAUGAUACGUAUUGGUAGUAUUGUAAACCCUCCUAUAUGCUUAAUUGUAUGCCUGCAUGAAUGUGAUUAUGUAAUUGUGAUAAAAUAAGCAUUAUGAAACUAUUGAAUCCCAAAUCUUGAUAAAAACCUAAUCUCUUGUUAAUGAUGCUGUCUUGGUAUAAAAGAAGGCUUGAUGAACUAAAGUAAUGAGAUUGAUGAUGCCUUUGUAUAAGAGAAGGCUUGAUAAAUUGAUAGGAUGAGAUUAGGGGAUCGGGUGUCACGAACCGACAGGUAGAUUUAGAGGAUCGAGUGUCACGAACCGACACAUAGAUUUAGGGGAUCGGGUGUCAUGAACUGACACGUAGAUUUAGGGGAUCGGGUGUCACGAACCGACACGUAGAUUUAGGGGAUCGGGUGUCACGAACCGACAUGUAGAUUUAGGGGAUCGGAGUGUCACGUUCCAACACAUAGUAGUAGGGGAUCGGAGUGUCACGUACCGACACAAGAGGAAUAAAGAUAAUGAAUCUUGAAAGAUGUUAAUAUACUCAAUCUAAUGAAUCUAAUUCGCAAAUGAGUAUGGUAUUGAGGCUUGGGUCCUCAUGUGUGAACUUGACGGUAAUUGCUAAUGAUAUGGUACUUGUUGUUGCUACAUGUUGAGUAUCAUAGUUGAUUUUAUGAUAUUACUUGGUAUAUAAUAUUUUCUAUUUUGAGUUGGCCGAUGAUAUCUACUCAGUACCCGUGUUUUGUACUGACCCCCCUACUUUUAUGUUUUCUUCUUGUUUAUUUGUGGAGUGCAGCAAACGUACCAUCAUCUUCAACUCAACCGCAAUUCUAGCCAGUCUUCGUCACAUCGGAUCUUCUGGGUGAGCUAAUGUUUCUAGCUUGGACUGGAUCUUCUUCCUCAUGUCUUGAUGCCUUGAAGUUCCGGCAUGGACUAGCUUUUAUUUGUUUUAGCUUCUUAGAAUACUCUUAGUUUAGUAUUUUGAUCAUAGAUGUUCUUGUGGUGAUGACUUCCAGAUUUUGGGAAUAAUAAUAGUUGUUGAGUUUUUAGAAGUUAUUGAAUUGGUUUUUAUUAAUGAGUUAAGUCUUCCGCAUUACUUUCUGUUGAUAUUAUAUUGAAAUGUUAAGGUUUAGAUUGGUUGGUUCGCUCACAUAGGAGGGUAAGUGUGGGUGCCAGUCGCGACCCGAUUUGGGUCGUGAAAAUGGGAAGUCUAGCUCACUUGCAAGUUUCUAGAAUCCCAUUGGCUAGAGAGGUUCAGACUCUGGCUAAUGACUUUGUGAGAUUAGAAGUAAAUGAGAAGGGAGGAUUUUUGGCCUGUGUGGAGGCAAUAUCUUCCUUUCUUGACAAGAUUAAGGGAAAGCACUUUACUGAUGAGAAACUAAUUUGGAUCCGAGAUAAAGUGUUGCGAGGAGAGGCUAAAGAAGCACAAAUCGAUGAGGAAGGUGUUUUGAGAAUUAAGGGAAGAGUAUGUGUACCCCGCGUCGAUGAUUUGAUUCACACUAUUCUUACAGAGGCUCAUAGUUCAAGGUAUUCUAUACAUCCUGGUGCAACCAAGAUGUACCGUGACCUAAAAUAACACUUUUGGUGGAGUAGAAUGAAGCGUGACAUUGUUGAUUUUAUUGCCAAAUGUCCAAAUUGUCAGCAAGUAAAAUAUGAACACCAGAGGCCCGGAGGAACACUUCAGAGAAUGCCCAUUCCUGAAUGGAAGUGGGAAAGAAUUGCAAUGGAUUUCGUGGUUGGUCUUCCCAAGACAAUGGGUAAGUAUGACUCCAUUUGGGUAAUUGUUGACAGGUUAACUAAGUCUGCUCACUUCAUUCCGGUCAAGGUGACUUACAAUGCAGAGAAGUUAGCCAAACUUUACAUCUCAGAAGUUGUUCGAUUGCAUGAAGUUCCACUUUCCAUUAUAUCAGAUAGAGGUAUGCAGUUUACUUCUAAGUUCUGGAAAACAUUGCAUGCUGAGUUAGGUACUAGGUUGGAUCUUAGUACCGCAUUUCACCCUCAGACCGAUGGUCAGUCUGAACGAACGAUUCAAGUGUUGGAGGAUAUGUUUCGUGCAUGUGUGAUAGAAUUUGGUGGCCAUUGGGAUAACUUCUUACCCUUAGCAGAAUUCUCAUACAAUAAUAGCUAUCACUCAAGUAUUGGUAUGGCCCCAUUUGAGGCACUGUAUGGGAGGAGAUGUAGGUCUCCCAUUGGUUGGUUUGAUGCAAUUGAGGUUAGACCUUGAGGUACUGACCUUCUGAGGGAAUCGUUAGAUAAAGUGAAAUGCAUUCAAGAAAAGCUUUUAGCGGCUCAAAGUAGGCAGAAGGAAUAUGCAGAUCGAAAGGUUAGAGACUUGGAGUUUAUGGAGGGUGAGCAAGUCUUGCUGAAGGUUUCGCCCAUGAAAGGGGUGAUGCGGUUUGGUAAGCGAGGUAAGCUUAGCCCAAGGUAUAUUGGUCCCUUUGAAGUUCUGAAGCGCGUGGGGGAGGUAGCUUAUGAAUUAGCCUUGCCUCCAGGGCUGUCAGAAGUGCAUCCGGUAUUUCAUGUGUCUAUGUUGAAAAGAUACCAUGGAGAUGGAAACUACAUCAUUCGUUGGGAUUCAAUUCUGCUUGAUGAGAAUUUGUCUUAUGAAGAGGAACCUGUUGCUAUUUUAGAUAGAAAAGUCCGCAAGUUGAGGUCGAGGGAAAUUGCAUCCAUCAAGGUUCAAUGGAAGAAUCGACCGGUUGAAGAGUCCACUUGGGAGAAGGAGGCUGAUAUGCAAGAAAGAUACCCACAUCUGUUUACAUAUUCAGGUACUCCUUUUCGCCCUUGUUUCUCUUCUUGUGAUCGUUCGAGGACGAACGAUUGGUAAAUUGAUAUCUAUUGUAAUGACUUGUUUAGUCGUUUUGAGCAGCAGAUUUUAUUUCUGGAAAAACUUGCAGAGACGACGGAUCCCACGACGGACCGUCAUGGCACGACGGACCGUCGAGGGGGUCUCGUUCCAAAACACUUAGAAUUCUGAAAUUUGGAUACUGAAAUCGACUCUCUGAACUUCGUGACGGAAUGGCAGGACGGACCAUCGUGGGCACGACGGACCAUCACACAUUUUCCACACAAAUUAUCUCUCUGAACUUUGCGACGGACCUGCACGACGCACCGUCACACACAUGACGGACCGUCACAGGUUGCGUAACCCAGGCUGGAUCGGAUUUCUAUUAAAAGUUUUUAAGGGGCGUUUUGGACUAUUCCUGCUAUAAUUAUAAAUUUAGUGGGUUAAUGUUAAUAAUUUAACUACUUGGGGGUUAAAAGAGAUAACCUUGAAAUAAAUAAUGGGUUAAUUCAUCAUCUUUUAAACUUAAUUAUAUGUUAAUUAGGGUAAAAGAAAAAAGGUUUGAAUAAGAAAAAUAGAAAGAACAAAGAGAGAGAGAGGAACGAUCGAUCGAGAGAGAGGGGAAGAACGCGAGGAAAGCAAAGCUUUGGGGAAAGUAGAUUGCUUGAGCACAAUUCUUCGGUGGAGGUAGGUUAUGGUUUAUGCUAUUCAUAGUAAACUCUUAAUAGCGAAUGAUAUGUAUGGGUAGUAUUAUAAAGUCUUCUAUAUGCUUAAUUAUGUGCUUGCAUGAUAUGAAUAUUCUAAUUGUGAUGAAUUAGCAUGAUGAGGCUGUUGAAUCUUAAACCCCAAUCUACUUUGUUAAUGAUGAUUCCUUGGUAUAAAAGAAGGCUUGAUGAACUAAAGUAGUUUGAUUAGGGGAUCGGAUGUCACGUUCCGACACCAGGAUAGUAAUAGAGGAUCGGGUGUCACGUUCCGACACCAAGAUAGUAUAUGAGGAUCGGAGUGUCACAUUCCGACACCAGGAUAGUAUAUGGAUCAGGUGUCACGUUCCGACACCAGGAUAGUAUAUGAGGAUCAGAGUGUCACGUUCCGACACCAGGAUAGUAUAUGGACCGGGUGUCACAUUCCGACACUAGGAUAGUAUAUGAGGAUCGGAGUGUCACGUUCCGACACCAGGAUAGUAUAUGAGGAUCGGAGUGUCACGUUCCGACACCAGGGUAGUAUAUGAGGAUCGGAGUGUCACGUUCCGACACCAGGAUAGUAUAUGGAGCGGAGUGCCACGUACCGACACGAGAGGAAUAAAGAUAAUGAAUCUUGAAAUAUGCUAAUAUACUCAAUCUAAAGAACUAAUUCCCCAAUGAGUAUGGUGUGGAGGCUUGAGUCCUCAUUGAUGUGAUUAGUGUUGUUGCAAAUGAUUUUUAUGCGUAAUGCUAUCACCUGUUAAGUAUUUGAUUGGUUUUAUGUUUAUUAUCUGAUAUAUACUGUUUUCUAUUUUGAGUUGGCCGAUGAUACCUACUCAGUACUUGUGUUUUGUACUGACCCCUACUUGUAUUCUUUUUCUUUGUUAAUUGUGGAGUGCAGCAAACGUACCGUCGUCUUCAACUCAACCGCAACUCUAGCCAGUCUUCAUCAAGCCAGAUUUCAGGGUGAGCUAUUGCUUCUAGCUUGGACUGGAUCUUCAUAUUCAUGUCUUAGAAUACUCUUAGUUUAGUAAUUUGAGGAUAGAUGUUCGUGGUGAUGACUUCCAGAUUCUGGGGAUAAAUGAUUGAUAAAUUUUAGAAGUUAUUUAAUUGGUUUCGUUAAUGAGUUUUAAGUCUCCGCAUUGUAUUUUGUUCAUUAUGUUUGAAAUGUUGGGGUUUAGAUUGGUUGGUUCACUCACAUAGUAGGAUAGUGUGGGUGCCACUCGCGGCUCGUUUUGGGUCGUGACACUUUAUCCACAAAAUUCGCAAGACUUGUAUGUCUCUGAUGUUAUUCACUCUAAUAUCAUUGAUAUUUAUCAUAUAUUAUUAUAAGUGGGAAGAGUUUGAUCAAAAAGUUGAUUUACCAUUUUAACCCUACAGUUUUAAUAAAUAUUAACUUAUUAUAAAUUAUCUGAUAAUUCCAGACCUAAUUUAUACCCCAGAAACCAAUUGUUGCUCAGAAUCAUGGUUUAACGUAAAAGAAACAUAGAGUUUGUGCUCAAAUCGUUCAUCAGCCUCAUCGUUCAACGUAACAGAAACGUAGAGUUUUUGUUCAAACUCCUCGAUCAGUGCAACAAACCUUUUCAGACGCUCAACUUUAGCUGAUCGAAAGGCUUUUCAGAUACUUCUGGCGUCUAUACAAAUGUCACCAACAACUUGUUAUUGCCCAUUAAUAUGUUACUCUUUAUGUGCUCAAUCAAGUAUAUCAUUGUCAGGUAAGAACAAAUUUCUCCUCGAUUGUUGUUUAAUCAAUAGCACAGUUAAUAAAGUACUCCGUCACUGUAGUUUAAUCAAUAAGUACGAUCAGUAAAGUAAAAAUUUCUAUGUUUUACUUCUUGAUUCUGCUUGAAAGCAUGCAUUUUAAGUCCAUAUCAAUUUAUUUUCUUUGUGGUCCGCAUGUCUCAAAUCUCUGUCAAAUACGAAAGGUGUUAGCAAUGUUGUGUGUAAUGGUUGUCUUUGAUAUGCAACUUUGGAAUAUGAUCCUGCCGGUUCAGGUAGUCCUGAAAACUACAUUGUGAUUUUAAUGGAGGAACUUUUUUUAAUUGUUUCAGAAGGAGCUUGUCAUUGGUUUGUCUUCCUCCCAUUUUUACUAAUUAAUAUAAGUUUAUUUGUUAAAAUUGUCGAUAUUAUGUCAAUGUUGAAGUCCUUUUUUUUGUUUAAAUUACUAAGUUUGUGUGUUAAGUCUUUGGUAUAUUCAUUGCAAUUUCUCUAUUAUCUCCAUCUAAACAACCAUUUAGGGGACCACAUGGACAGGUGACUUCCAAUUUUUCUCUAUAUAAAUAGAACCCAGGAGAUACAAAGUUGCCACCCUUAAAUAAUAUAAACAUAUACUAUAUAAUUUUCCCUAUUAAAUAGUCAAAUAUUAUUUAUUCUUUUAGGCACGUAAUUUUAUAUAUCUUCAAAUUGAUUAAAAAAAUAUUAAUACGUCAUUUUAAAGAUUAUUGUAAUAAUCAAGGUAUGAAUUUAGUGAUCAUAUUCUGUAACAAAUAUUAAAAUAUGCUUACGCAAUAAUUCUUUAAAGUAUUUUUAGGAAGAAAAUAUUAACUAUUCAAAUACAUUUUAUAUUAAAUUAGUUCACAUUUUUCUUUCAAAAACAUGUCAAGCAAGCUUAUCAUUUAUUAUUGUUUGUAAAAAAGUUAAUUAAUAGAAACUCUUCAUUUUAACACAAUUAUAAGAAUAUCUUUAUGGACCAAUGUUCAAAGUAAGACAUGUAUGGAUUCUUCUAGAUUUUCAUUUUGAUCAUUAAUUAUACAAUUAUUAUUUCACCCUUAAAUUAUAUAAAAAUUACCAAAACGCCAUUGUUUAAUAGAUAUUUUUGGUUUAAUAAAAAUUUCACACUACAAAAAAAUUCUAUAGAAAAUGUAAAUCCAAAUAAAAUGUCACAUCAUUAGGAUACACAUGUCAUUUAAGAAAAAAAAUUUUGGUUGUAUUGUUAUUAUAAAUCUUUUACCACCUUUUUGAUUCCAUAACAUAAAAAAAUAUUCUAGAAUAUUUAUGAAAUGACAAAAUUGUCCUUGAUCGUCCUCAACUUGGCUCUUCUAUAUGAGAAGGUCAAUCCGUAGUUUAUCAAUUGUGAAAGUUUCUUAAGUAUAUAAUAUAUGAUUCUACGACAAAUUAAAUUUUGAUCCCAUAUAUUUAUACUAUUUGAAAAUUUAUCCAUUUAAAUGAUUAUGUAUUUUCUUAACUAUAAUUACUGUAACGACCUGUUUAGUCGUUUUGAGCAGCAGAUUUCAAUUCUGGAAAAACUGGCAGAAGCGACAGACCCCACGACGGACCGUCAUGGGCACGACGGACCGUCGCAGGGUCUCGUUUCAAAACACUUAGAAAAUCUGAAAUUGGGUACUGAAAAUCGACUCUCUGAACUUCGUUACGGAAUGGCAGGACGGACCGUCACAGGUGUGACGGACCAUCACAGACUCUUCAGAGAAAUUGAGUCUCUGACCUCUGUGACGGGCAGCAGGACGGACCGUCGCAGGCACGACGGGCCGUCACGGACUGCGAAAUCCCAGUCUGGGUUGGAUUUCUUUACACGUUUUAAGGGACGUUUUGGACUAUUCCUACUUUAAUUAUAAAGUUAUAGGGUUAAUGUUAAUAAGUCUAAUUACUUAGGGGUUAAAAGAGGUAACCUUAAGCUAAUUAGUGGGUUAUUAUUGCCAUCUUUUAUUCUUAAAUAUAUACUAAUUAGGGUAAAAGAAAAGAGUUUUGAAUAAAGAAAAUAGAAAGAAAGAAAGAGAGAGAAGGGAAUCGAUAGAGAGAGAGACGAUCGAGAAGGGGAAAAACACAAAGCUUUGGGAAAAUUUUCUUGCUUGAUCACGAAUCUUCGGUGGAGGUAGGUUAUGGUUUUCAUGCUUUCAUAGUAAACUCUUAAUAGAGAAUGAUAUGUAUUGAUAGUAUUGUAAACCCUGCUAUGUGCUUAAUUGUAUGCAUGCAUGAACGUGAUUAUAUAAUUGUGAUUAUAUUAAGCAUGAUGAAGUUAUUGAAUCUCAAAUCUUGAUAAAAACCUAAUCUCUUUUUAAUAAUGAUGCCUUGAUAAGGGAGAAGGCUUGAUGAACUAAAGUAAUGAGAUUGAUGAUGCCUUGGUAUGGGAGAAGGCUUGAUGAGUUGAUAGAAUUAGAUUAGGAGAUCGGGUGUCACGAACCGACACGUAGAUUUAGGGGAUCGGGUGUCACGAACCGACACGUAGAAUUAGGGGAACGGUUGUCACGAACCGACACGUAGAUUUAGGGAAUCGGAUGUCACAAACUGACACGUAGAUUUAGGGGGGAUCCACGAACCGACCACGUAGAUUUAGGGGAUGGGGUCAUGUGACAUGAACGAUUUAGGGAUCGGGUGUCACAACCGACACGUAGAUUUAGGAGAUCGGAGUGUCACGUACCGACACAAGAGGAUUAAUGAAUAUGAGGGAGCAGAGUGUCACGUACCAACACAAGAGAAAUAAAGAUAAUGAAUCUUGAAAGAUGUUAAUAUAUUCAAUCUAAUGAACAUAAUUCCCAAAUGAGUAUGGUAUUGAGGCUGAGUCUCGUGUGUGAAAUUGACGGUAAUUGUUAAUGACAUAGUACUUGCUGUUGCUACAUGUUGAGUAUCAUAGUUGAUUUUAUGAUAUUACUUGGUAUAUAUUGUUUUCUAUUUUGGGUUGGCCGAUAAUAUCUACUCAGUACCCGUGUUUGAACUGACCCCUACUUUUAUGUUUUCUUCUUGUUAUUUGUGGAGUGCAGCAAACGUGCCGUCGUCUUCAACUCAACAGUAAUUCUAGCCAAUCUUCGUCACACCGGAUCUUCAGGGUGAGCUAACGCUUCUAUCUUGGACUGGAUCUUCUCCUUCAUGUCUUGAUGCCUUGAACUUCCGGCAUGGACUAGCUUUUAUUUGUUUUAGCUUUUUAGAAUACUCUUAGUAGUACUUUGAUCAUAGAUGUUCUUGUGGUGAUUACUUCCAGAUUUUGGGGAAUAAUAGAUGUUGAAUUUUAGAAGUUAAUGAAUUGGUCUUUAUUUAAUGAGUUUAAGUCUUCUGCAUUACUUUCUGUUGAUAUUAUAUUGAAAUGUUAAGGUUAGAUUGGUUGGUUCGCUCACAUAGGAGGGUAAGUGUGGGUGCCAGUCGCGGCCCGGAUUUGAGUCGUGACAAACUUGGUAUCAGAGCAUUAGGUUCGUUGGUCUCAUCACACAAGAACGAGUCUAGUAGAGUCUUAAGGAACGGUAGGGGGAUGCCUUUACUUUUCUUUGAGAGGCUAUAAGACUUUAGGAAAAUUUCAUUCUUUUCUUUCGUGCUAUUACUUGGGUCCAAUUGGUAUCUAGGUGAUACAAAUUGGUAUCUGACCAUCUUCACUCUAUUUUGCAGAUGGUUAGAACUAGAGCAACGACUACGCCAACACCAACACCAACACCAGCGGGACAGGGUGCAUCUGAGCCAGCCACUGGGCUAUAGCUCGAGGAAGAGCAGCGGCAAGAGGCCGUGGUAGAGGUCGUGGAGGACGUCCUCUAGGGGAAGAGGACGAGCACCUAGCCCAUCUGAUACUAGGGCAGUGACUCCUCCACCGACUGAGGAAGUAAUAAGGGAAGGGGAGGAUGGGGAAAACGAACAAGUGCAGAAUGAGGGAUUGCCACCCCAACCUACCCCAGAGAUGAUAAAUCAGGUGCUCGCUUAUCUUAGUGGGUGGUCUAAUCAGGGUCAGGCACCUCCAGUGUUUUCUGCACCAACUUCUCCGGUUUCAGAGGUACAACAUGCAACCACUAUGGCUCCUCGUAUGGAUGCCUCAUUGGACAUAGGCACGUUUCCACGUCUGACUACAAGGCCUAUAAUGACAAAUGAUCAGCAUGAACUUUUCAGUAAGUUCUUGAAAUUGAAACCUCCAGUCUUCAAGGGUGUUGAAUCUGAGGAUGCUUACGAUUUUCUGGUUGACUAUCAUGAGCUACUACACAAGAUGGGUAUAGUAGAACGGUUUGGUGUUGAGUUCGUGAGUUAUCAGUUUCAAGGGAACGCCAAAAUGUGGUGGUGGUCACAUGUUGAGUGUCAACCAACAGAGGCACCACCUAUGACUUGGGCCUCAUUCUCUAACUUGUUUAUGGAGAAGUAUAUCCCCGGACUCUGAGGGAUAGGAAAGGGAUGAGUUCUUGAGCCUAGAGCAAGGUAGGAUGUCGGUCAAUGCAUAUGAGGCUAAGUUUCGUGCACUAUCCAGAUAUGCCACCCAACUUUGUUUCAGUCCACAAGAGCGGAUUCGUCGUUUUGUGAAGGGGUUGAGGUCAAAGUUGCGGAUUUUAGCCUUACAGGUAGCGGCUACGACAAAAUCCUUCCAAGAAGUGGUAGAUUUCGUGGUAGAGGUGGAAGGAGUGAAGCCAGAUGAAUUCACCAUGGCAUCGACAUCAAAAAGGUUUCGAAAGGGAGGUGAGUUUAAUGGUUUUUACUCUAGAGGACAGGGUUCCAGAGGUUACUCAGUUUGACCCAUUCAGUCUUCACUACAGACUGUAGUUGGGGGUCCACCUCAGACCGGUCAAACUUCUCUAAGAGACCUAUGCUUGACUCUAGAGAGUGCUAUGGAUGUGGGGAGACUGGACAUAUUAGGAGAAAUUGUCCAAACAGAGUUAUAGACCCCCAAUUGCUAGAGGUAGAGGUGGUCAUGGUAGAGGUCGUUAUUCUGAGGACGUGGUGGUCGAGGUAAUGGUGGUCACCAAAAUGGCCGAGGUGAUGGGCAAACUGGAGCCACUACAUCACAACAUGGUAGGGGCAAUGGACAGACAAACGAUAGGGCCCAUUGUUACGCUUUCCCUGGGCGGUCUGAAGCGGAGGCAUCUGAUGCUGUCAUCACAGGUAAUCUUUUGGUGUGUGAUUGCAUGGCUUCUGUAUUAUUUGAUCCUGGAUCCACAUUUUCUUAUGUAUCUUCCUCAUUUGCUAAUGGUCUAAAUUUACAUUGUGAAUUACUUGAUAUGCCUAUUCGUGUUUCUACUCCGGUGGGUGAGUCUGUGGUAGUUGAAAAGGUAUAUAGGUCUUGUUUGGUGAACUUUGUGGGGAGCAACACUUAUGUAGAUUUGGUUAUCUUAGAAAUGGAUGAUUUUGAUGUAAUUCUGGGUAUGACUUGGCUUUCUCCGCAAUUUGCGAUCUUGGAUUGUAAUGCUAAAACGGUGACGUUAGCCAAGCCUGGGACAGAUCCGUUAGUGUGGGAGGGUGACUACACUUCCAAUCCGGUGCGUAUCAUCUCCUUUCUUCGUGCUAAGAAAAUGGUUAGUAAAGGGUGUUUAGCUUUCUUGGCACAUCUCAAGGAUGACACUACCCAAGUACCUUCGAUUGAGUCGGUUUCGGUGGUCCGUGAGUUUCAGGAUGUGUUCCCUGUAGAUCUUCCUGGUAUGCCACCAGAUAGGGAUAUUGAUUUCUGUAUUGACCUUGAACCGGGUACUCGCCCAUUUCUAUACCCCCUUAUAGAAUGGCUCCCGCGGAGUUAAGAGAGUUAAAAGCCCAACUUCAAGAGUUGUUAAACAAAGGCUUUAUUAGACCAAGUGCAUCUCCUUGGGGUGCUCCGGUUUUGUUUGUGAAGAAGAAGGAUGGGAGUUUUCGAAUGUGUAUAGACUACAGACAACUAAACAAGGUAACCAUAAAGAACAAGUAUCCUCUUCCUCGCAUUGAUGACUUGUUCGAUCAGUUACAAGUGCUUGUGUCUUCUCUAAGAUUGACUUGAGAUCCGGUUAUCAUCAAUUGAAAAUACGGGCAACGGAUGUGCCAAAGACUGCUUUUCAAACGAGGUAUGGGCAUUACGAAUUUGUAGUGAUGUCUUUUGGUCUUACGAAUGCCCCUGCUGCGUUCAUGAGCUUGAUGAACGGGAUUUUUAAGCAAUAUUUGGACCUCUUUGUGAUCGUAUUUAUUGAUGAUAUACUGAUAUACUCUAAGAGCAAGAAAGAACAUGAGGAGCAUUUGAGAAUGGUAUUGGAAAUGUUGAGGGAGAAAAAGCUUUAUGCCAAGUUCUCUAAGUGUGAGUUUUGGCUAGAUGCAGUGUCCUUCUUGGGGCACGUGGUUUCUAAGGAUGGAGUGAUGGUGGAUCCUUCUAAGAUUGAGACAGUAAAGAAUUGGGUAAGACCUACUAAUGUGUCAGAAAUAAGGAGCUUUGUUGGGUUAGCUAGCUACUACCGCCGAUUUGUCAAGGGAUUCUCUUCUAUUGCUUCCCAACUGACGAACUUGACUAAGCAAAAUAUUCCAUUUGUAUGGUCGGAUGAGUGUGAGGAAAGCUUUCAGAAGCUCAAGACUUUGUUGACUACCGCACCCAUUCUCACCUUGCCAGUGGAAGGUAAGAAUUUCAUUGUCUAUUGUGAUGCAUCUUAUUCGGGUUUGGGUGCAGUGCUAAUGCAAGAGAAGAAUGUGAUUUCUUAUGCUUCAAGACAAUUAAAAGUGCAUGAACGUAACUAUCCAACUCAUGAUUUGGAAUUGGCCGCGGUAGUGUUUGCAUUAAAGCAAUGGAGACACUAUUUAUAUGGGGUUAAGUGUGAGGUCUAUACGGAUCAUCGUAGCCUACAGUAUGUCUUUACUCAGAAAGAUUUGAACUUGAGACAGAGGAGAUGGAUGGAACUACUGAAGGACUACGAUAUCACUAUUUUGUAUCAUCCGGGGAAGGCGAAUGUUGUAGCGGAUGCUUUAAGUAGAAAGGCGGGAAGCAUGGGAAGUCUAGCUCACUUGCAAGCUUCUAGACGCCCAUUGGCUAGAGAGGUUCAGACUCUAGCUAAUGACUUGAUGAGAUUAGAAGUAAAUGAGAAGGGAGGAUUCUUGGCUUCUGUGGAGGCAAGAUCUUCCUUUCUUGACAAGAUUAAGGGAAGACAGUCUGAUGAUGAGAAACUGCGCAGAAUCCAAGAUAAGGUAUUGCGAGGAGAGGCUAAGGAAGCACAAAUCGAUGAGGAAGGUGUUUUUAGGAUCAAGGGAAGGGUAUGCGUACCCCGCGUCGAUGAUUUGAUCAACACUAUUCUGACAGAGGCUCAUAAUUCAAGGUAUUUGAUACAUCCGGGUGCAGCCAAGAUGUACCGUGACCUAAAGCAACACUUUUGGUGGGGUAGAAUGAAGCGUGAUAUUGUGGAUUUUAUUGCCAAAUGUCCAAACUUCAACAAGUAAAGUAUGAACACCAAAGGCCCGGAGGAACACUUCAGAGAAUGCCCAUUCCGGAAUGGAAAUGGGAGAGAAUCGCAAUGGACUUCUUGGUUGGUCUUCCAAAGACGAUGGGUAAGUAUGAUUCUAUUUGGGUGAUUGUUGAUAGGUUAACUAAGUCUGCUCAUUUCAUUCCGGUCAAGGUGACUUACAAUGCAGAGAAGUUAGCCAAAAUCUAUAUCUCAGAAAUUGUUCGGUUGCAUGGGGUUCCACUAUCCAUCAUCUCAGAUAGAGGUACGCAGUUUACUUCAAAGUUUUGGAGAACAUUGCAUGUUGAAUUAGGUACUAGGUUGGACCUUAGUACCACGUUCCAUCCUCAGACCGAUGGUCAGUCUGAGCGAACGAUUCAAGUGUUGGAGGAUAUGCUUCGCGCAUGUGUGAUAGAGUUUGGAGGCCAUUGGGAUAGCUUCUUGAGCUAUCACUCAAGCAUUGAUAUGGCUCCAUUUGAAGCAUUGUAUGGUAGGAGAUGUAGGUCCCCCAUUAGUUGGUUUGAUGCGUUCGCGGUUAGACCUUGGGGUACUGAUCUCUUGAGGGAUUCGAUGGAGAAGGUGAAAUCUAUUCAAGAAAAGCUUCUAGGGGCGCAAAGUAGACAAAAAGAAUAUGCAGAUCGAAAGGUUAGAGACUUAGAGUUCAUGGAGGGAGAACAUGUCUUGCUGAAGGUUUCGCCCAUGAAAGGGGUGAUGCGGUUUGGUAAAAGGGGUAAGCUAAGUCCAAGGUACAUUGGUCCCUUUGAAGUACUUAAGCGAGUAGGGGAGGUGGCUUAUGAAUUAGCCUUGCCUCCAGGGCUGUCCGGAGUACAUCCGGUAUUCCAUGUGUCGAUGUUGAAAAGAUACCAUGGGGAUGGAAACUACAUUAUCCGUUGGGAUUCAGUUUUGCUUUAUGAGAACUUGUCUUAUGAGGAGGAACCUGUUGCCAUUCUAGAUAGAGAAAUUCGCAAGUUGAGAUCAAGGGAGAUUGCAUCCAUCAAAGUUCAAUGGAAGAAUCGACCCGUUGAAGAAGCCACUUGGGAGAAGGAGGCGGAUAUGCGAGAAAAUACCCACAUCUGUUCACAGAUUUAGGUACUCCUUUUCGCCCUUGUUUUCCUUCUUGUGAUCGUUCGAGGACGAACGAUGGGUAAAUUGGUAUCUAUUGUAACGACCUGUUUAGUCGUUUUGAGCAGCAGAUAUCAAUUCUGGAAAAACUGGCAGAAGCGACGGACCCCACGACGGACCGUCAUGGGCACGACGGACCGUCGCAGGGUCUCGUUUCAAAACACUUAGAAAAUCUGAAAUUGGGUACUAAAAAUCGACUCUCUGAACUUCGUAACGGAAUGGCAGGACGGACCGUCACAGGUGUGACGGACCGUCACAGACUCUUCAGAGAAAUUGAGUCUCUGAACUCUGUGACGGGCCGUCACGGACUGCAAAAUCCCAGUCUGGGUCGGAUUUCUUUACACGUUUUAAGGGACGUUUUGGACUAUUCCUACUUUAAUCAUAAAGUUAGAGGGUUAAUGUUAAUAAGUCUAAUUACUUAGGGGUUAAAAGAGGUAACCUUAAGCUAAUUAGUGGGUUAUUAUUGCCAUCUUUUAUUCUUAAUUAUAUACUAAUUAGGGUAAAAGAAAGAGGGUUUGAAUAAAGAAAAUAGAAAGAACAGAAAGAGAGAGAAGGGAAUCGAUAGAGAGAGAGACGAUCGAGAAGGGGAAAAACACAAAGCUUUGGGAAAAUUUGCUUGCUUGAUCACGAAUCAUCGGUGGAGGUAGGUUAUGGUUUUCAUGCUUUCAUAGUAAACUCUUAAUAGAGAAUGAUAUGUAUUGAUAGUAUUGUAAACCCUUCUAUGUGCUUAAUUGUAUGCAUACAUGAACGUGAUUAUAUAAUUGUGAUUAUAUUAAGCAUGAUGAAGUUAUUGAAUCCCAAAUCUUGAUAAAAACCUAAUCUCUUUUUAAUGAUGAUGCCAUGGUAAGGGAGAAGGCUUGAUGAACUAAAGUAAUAAGAUUGAUGAUGCCUUGGUAUAAGAGAAGGCUUGAUAAAUUGAUAGGAUGAGAUUAGGGGAUCGGGUGUCAUGAACCGACACGUAGAUUUAGGGGAUCGGGUGUCACGAACCGACACGUAGAAUUAGGGGAUCGGAUGUCACGAACCGACACGUAGAUUUAGGGGAUCGGUUGUCACGAACCGACACGUAGAUUUAGGAGAUCGGGUGUCACGAACCGACACGUAGAUUUAGGGGAUCGGGUGUCACGAACCGACACGUAGAUUUCGGAAUCGGAGUGUCACGUACCGACACAAGAGAAAUAAAGAUAAUAAAUCUUGAAAGAUGUUAAUAUACUCAAUCUAAUGAACAUAAUUCCUAAAUGAGUAUGGUAUUGAGGCUUGAGUCCUCAUGUGUGAACUUGACGGUAAUUGUUAAUGAUAUAGUACUUGCUGUUGCUACAUGUUGAGUAUCAUAGUUGAUUUUAUGAUAUUACUUGGUAUAUAUUGUUUUCUAUUUUGGGUUGGCCGAUGAUAUCUACUCAGUACCCGUGUUUGUACUGACCCCUACUUUUAUGUUUUCUUCUUGUUAUUUGUGGAGUGCAGCAAACGUGCCGUCGUCUUCAACUCAACAGUAAUUCUAGCCAGUCUUCGUCACACCGGAUCUUCAGGGUGAGCUAACGCUUCUAGCUUGGACUGGAUCUUCUCCUUCAUGUCUUGAUGCCUUGAACUUCCGGCAUGGACUAGCUUUUAUUUGUUUUAGCUUUUUAGAAUACUCUUAGUUUAGUACUUUGAUCAUAGAUGUUCUUGUGGUGAUGACUUCCAGAUUUUGGGGAGUAAUAGAUGUUGAAUUUUAGAAGUUAAUGAAUUGGUCUUUAUUUAAUGAGUUUAAGUCUUCCGCAUUACUUUCUGUUGAUAUUAUAUUGAAAUGUUAAGGUUAGAUUGGUUGGUUUGCUCACAUAGGAGGGUAAGUGUGGGUGCCAGUCGCGGCCCGGAUUUGGGUCAUGACAAUUACGCGGUCAUUAUUUAUCAAUUCUUACAUUAUCAACUCUAUAUUCUUUUUUUUUAAAUAUCUUUAGAAUUGUGCUAUUUUUUUUCUUAUUUAAGUCACAAUUUUUAAUGAAAAAUAAAUAUUAUGUUGGAGUUAAUAUCGGUUAAAUAAAAUUAUAUGAAUACUUAUGUUUAAAAAACAUAUAUAUAUAAUUAAAAAGUAAAUUACAUACACAGAAUUAAGAUAAAACAAAUAUUAUUUUGGAGAUAAAAUAGGUUAAAUAUAACUAUAUGAAUAUUAUGUUUAAAAAAAUUUAUAUAUAAUUAAAAGAAAAUUACAUACAUGGAAGAUUGUAGGGUUAUACUCAAUAUGUUUCAGUAGUAGUAAUAAAUAUAGAUGAACGAUUUGAAUAGUCAAGAGUAUAAAGGUGAAAAUAUUUUUCACAUUAUUAUUAUAAUCAAACAAAUACAAAUUGAUUUUUAAAAAUAAAAUAAAAUGAGUUUGUGGGCCACACAUGAAACAAAACUUUUUGUGACUCUUGAAAAAGAAAAUUGGAUUCUUCUAGAAAACUAUUUGACAAUUAAUUAUACAAUUAUAAAUUUAGAACUUUGCCCAUAAUAAUGAUUAAAAUUACAAAAUUGUCAUUGGUCGUCCCCAUCAUGGCUCUUCUAUAUAAUAGAAAAAUAAUGAAUUCUAGAAUACUUAUAAAAUGAAAAAAUUGUCCUUGGCCGUACUCAACUUGGCUCUUCUAUAUAAAUACUAGUUAUUAUGUGUCCGCGCCUGCGCAAGUCCUACGUAUAUUAGUUUUUUUCUUUCCAAUUUAUGUGACACAAAUGAAAUUUGAAAAGGUGAACUAAUUUUUUUAUGUGUUUUUCAAAAAAGUAUUUUAAAUUGUUAAUUUAUGGAGUACCUUUUAUGUUAUUUUCGAAUAAUAUAUGUUACUCCAUAUGUUUUAUUUUAUAUGAUACAAGUGAUUUUAGGAAAGUAAACGAAAUUUCUUAUAUGAUUCUCACAUACUUAUAGUUGUCAUUUAUUGUGAUUCAUAGUACUUUUUAGUUCUUACGUUAUUUUCAAACAAUAUAUGCAACUUUUUUUGUUUCGAUAAAAAUAAGGAGUCAACCAAAUUUUAUUAUGUUUUUUAACUAUAUUUUUCUAAAAAUAUCAUACAUUGUUACAUUACAUUUUUAAGCUUCUUUUUUUAAUGUAAUAAAUAGAAACGAAGAAUUAAAGUUUUCAAAUCAUUAUAUUUUUAUAAGCUCAUUUCAAUAAUAACACAUAUAUAUUUCAUUUUUAAUAUGACUCCCUCCUUUUUUUUUAAUUUAUAUGAACUUAUUUUUCAUUUCAUUUCAAAAAGAAAAUAACUUCUGAAUUUUAAUUUUUUUAUAUAUCAUAUUAAAGAUCGGAAAAUUAAAAAAUAUUUCAAUACACAAAAUUUAAUAUAAAUAUAAAUAUAAAUUUUAAUUUUAAUUUUGAUUGGUUCCACCUAAUAUUAUAUUUUAUUUAUAAUUAUUAAGAGCUAAGCUUAAUCAUUAUUUAUUAACUUUCAUAUAAUAAAUAAAUAAAUAUCACAAUAACUCAUAAAAAUGAAUAAAUGACAAAAAUGAGGUAAUAUUGAUGAUAACACCAAAAGACGUUUUUAGAACUAUUUCAUUUUCUCGUUAUCAUUCUUGGUAGAUUUUUGCUUGCAUGAGUUACAUUUUUACCUUUGAUCAUCAUUCGCUUUAUAUAUCGAAAGAUGUUUAUAAAAUUAUUUAUUCUUGAUAGUUUUUUGUCUGAAUGAAUAUCUUUAAUACAAAUUGAUCAUCCUAUUCAUUUUUAUUUGUAAAGUUACUUUUUCUUUACUUUCAAUCUAAUAUAUAUUAUUAAUUUUAACACACCAAUUUAUUUUCAAGCAUAUUAAUUAGAGUCAAAAUAAAGAUUGAAAUAGAAAUAUGUUUCUACAAUUAUUUACUAUCUUUUAAAUACAUUUUUGUUAGAAUGAAAUUACAUUUUUACCCUUGAUCGUCCUACAACUUCACUCUUUUAUAUAAUAGAACUAGAUGACCCAACAAUUUAAAUUUCGGAAAAGGGCCUAAAAUAUCCUCAAAGUAUUGGAAAUGGUACAACAUUACCCUCCAUCCACCUAUUGGCUCCAAAAUACCCUUCUCACCCACCUAUUGGGUCCAAAAUACCCUUGUCAUCCACCUUUUGGUUCAAAAUUGACCACUUAUUUAACAGUUUUAUAUUUAAACUAUUUAAAUAUUUUUUAAAAUACGUGGUGCUCAACUAUAUGUUAUAAUUUAACUUAUUAGUAUAAUUUAUAAAUCAAUCCACUACCCACCCCAUUAAUAAUUAAAUCCCUCUAAAUUAAUGAAUCUGUCACAUUAUUAAUGCAAGCUACUGCCAAUAGAGAGUUUUUAAAAAUUGUAGAAGUAAAUUAUCAUGCAUUCAAGUGGCUAAAUAAAAAUCACCAAUAAACUUAAAAGUCUGACUAUGUUUAUCUUAAUUAUUCUUACGUCUCAAUUAUGUGAUGCUACUUCAUAGGUAAUUUUUUUUUCAAAAUAAUAUAUUAAAGUUUAAAAAAAAUCAUAAAUAUUUAUACAAUUGUCUUUAAAAAAAAUGCAUUAAUCAAUUCGGGAUGCAUUACUUUACCUUUUAAUCAUAAAUUUCUAAUUCUAUUUUGAAAGAAAGUGUCCUUCUAAAUAAGCGGCUUAACCUAAAUUUAAUUGGGGCUCCGAUUCGGACUCGAGUAAUUUUGAAUGUCAUUUUCAGAAAUCUAUAAUUUCACCGUGUUUUAGUAGUGUUUAUGACGAUUUUGAUAUUAUAAUUGGAUUAUUAAUUGGGUGAGGUUUAGUUAGUAAUGAGUGUGUAGUGGUUUGGUUUAUUAAUUAUAUUAAUAAAUUAUAAUUAUAAUCAAUAAUUGAACGCCAAGUAUUUUAAAAAAUAUUUAAAGAGUUUAAUUUUAAAACAAUUAAAAAGUGGUCAAUUUUGAACACAAAGGUGGAUGAAAAGGGUAUUUUGGAGCCAAUAGGUGGAUGAAAAGGGCAUUUUGAAGCCAAUAGGUGGAUGAAGGGUAAUUUUGUACCAUUGUCAAUACUUUAAGGGUAUUUUAGGCCCUUGUCCGUUUAAAUUUUAGUCUACUUAGGAAAUAUGUUCAAGAUCUAACGUAGCAAUGUAACACUUUUAAAUAACCAUAAUUUCAAAAAUACAAUAUACAUUAUCUAGUAACAGAUCAUAUUUCUUAACUUCCACAGUAAGAAAUAUGGGUUCUGUAUAUUCCUCAUAUGCAGUUGUUACAAUUCGUGUGACUUAGGUUAUUCCUAGUCUGUAUAUCACUUAAUUAGGUGUAUUGAGUUAUUUAAAUUCCACUAAAGUUAUGCUAAUUGGAGGAAUUAAGACUUACCCUUAGGUUUAAAUUUUAGAAAAGAAGAUUAUAAGUUAGAUGUGUUGUUGGGUUUAGGAUGCACAUAAAAUAACGUAAGCGUUUAUAGACUCGUUAACUUAUAAAUUAUGCAUAUAUACUUGAUAGAUUGGAAAGAUUCGGAGGCAUUGAGGAAAGAAAAAGUAUUGGAGAAGUAACUUGCUUGACUUCAAUUCUUCGGUGGAGGUAGGUUAUGGUUUAUUUCUAUUUGAUAGAUAAACUCUCAAUAGAGAUUGAUAUGUAUUAAGUGAUAUUGUAAACUAUCCUAUGUACUCGGUUGUGUGGUUGUAUGUCUUGAUUGUGUGGUUUGUGGUUGGCCUAAAAUUAUGAGAUUGUUGUAUUUCUAAUCUUGAACCCUCUCUAGUAAAAUGACGCCUUGAAUAAAGAAGGAUUGAUGAAAUGAAAUAAUAAGAUAAUUGGAUCGGAGUGUCAUGUUUCGACACGGUAUUAUUGGAUCAGAGUGUCACGUUCCGACACGGUAUUAUGGGAUCGGAGUGUCACGUUCCGGCACGGUAUAUGGAUCAGAGUGUCACGUUCCGACACGAUAACAUUAAAGAAAAGGAAUAUUGAAGUAACUUAAUAUACUUAACCUCAAAGAACCAAUCUUUCAAAUGAGUAUGAUGUGGAGACAUGACUCCUCAUAGGUGUGCUUGAUAUCGUGAUUGAUGGUGUACCUGUUACGGUGUUGUUGUCAAUGGUUCAUGUGUUUUGUUGCUUGCCACAUGUUAAGUAUGGUAGUUGAUUUUAUAUUAUUAUUCAAUAUAUAUUGAUUUUUGUUUUGAGUUGACCGAUGAUACUUACUCAGUACAUGUUGCCUCGUACUGAGCCCUGCUUGUUUUCUUCUUUGUUUUCCUUUUAUGGAGUGCAGCAAGUGUACUGAAGAAUUUGAAUCGCCCUCAGCUCUAUCAACUCUCGUCAUAUCAAGUUCAAGGGUGAGCUAUUCAUGCGAGCUUGAGUUGGAUUCUCUCACUCAUUACCUGAUGUCCUUAGUUUUCGGACACGAAUUACUUUAUUUCAUUUAUUUUGGUAUCUUUGGUACUCUUAGACAUAGUAAUUGGAGAUUAGAUGUCCUUGACGUGAUGACUUUCAGAUUUUGGGAAAUGAUGUUUAGUAACAUUUUAGCUUUCGUAUUAUGCUUGUAUUUUGUAAAUUAGAUUAAAUUGGUUGGUUCGCCCACUUAAGAGGUUAAGUGUGAGUUUCAUUCGCGACUCGAUUUGGGUCGUGACAAUAACCAAUAGAUAUUACAAUGACUCAUAAAAAAAAGUGAAUUAAUAACAAAAUAGAUUAAUAGUGAUGACAAUAACUAAAGAUGUUUCUAGAACUAUUUGAUUUUCUUGUUAUCAUUCUUAGUAGAUAUUUGUUAGCGUGAAAUUAUAUUUUUAUCCUUGAUCAUUAUUCACUUCAUAAAUAGAAAUAUAUUUCUAGAAUUAUUUACUAUCUUUUAAAUACAUUUUUGUUAGAAUGAAAUUACAUUUUUACCCUUGAUCGUCCUACCGCUUCACUCUUCGAUAUAAUAGAACUAGAUGGCCCAACAAUUUAAAUUUUAGUCUACUUAGGAAAUAUGUUCAAGAUCUAACGUAGCAAUGUAACACUUUUAAAUAACCAUAAUUUCAAAAAUACAAUAUACAUUAUCUAGUAACAGAUCAUAUUUUUUAACUUCCACAGUAAGAGAAUCCAAGUCAAAUAAGAAACAACCGACGUGCAAUAUCACUUUUCUUUCAAGGUUCAACAAUUAGUUCAACAGUAAGUUGGGUUAGACAUCCACAAUUUGUUAGCCACAUUCAAGUUUAUCAAACAUAUAAUAAGGAGGCAAUCACAUAUCAUUGCAUAAUAAGAUGACAGUCAAAUAUCCUUCCAUAGAUAUUAAAAAUGCAUACAAGAAUCUACUUGUGAAAUGCUGAUCAUUUAUUUUGUGCUACAUAAUUGAGAAUUAAUACGUGAUCAAGUAACUAACACUGCUAUAAAAAGGAGUUAUGUUACCAUCUCAAUAAAAAUUCAAGAAAUAUUGGAGCAAAUAAUGAAGAGGUUGUGGUUGUACUCGAUAAGAUGUGUGAUUAACUUUCCAGACAAUCCUAGACAAUAACUUCCAUCUUCCCUUGCUCAAGAUCAAGCUCAAGCUCAUCAUAGAAGACCUUAUUUUCUUCUUCAUUUUCAAAAAGAUUGGAAAAUACCAUGUAUUGAGCUUUUUUCUCUCAAAUAUCAAAGUGAAGGCCAUAAAAUAUUAAUGAGACAAUAUCAAACUUCACAACAUCAACUCCAAUGAAAAUACAAAUAAGGUGCACCUUUAACUUUAUAUUUUUUUGCAUAAUUAGGUAAUGUGAAAUAAUAGCAGUAAAAUAAACAUGUGCAUACGGACACUAAUUUUCAAUUUUAAGACGGCACACAUGUACUUUAUAAACGUCUUCAUUACAGCCAAAUCGCUCCACUCAUGCUAGAGAAUCAAUCGCUUGCAAAGGAAUUUACAUAUAGAAUUGUGCAUGCAGAUCAAAUGUUUCACAACAGAGUAAGAAAUCUGUAGCUUUCUAAUGCAAAUGUACGUUGAUAUCAAUGAUACUUUGGUAAUGAUUGAGAAGUUAAAUACAAAUGCAGAUACAGAGCCAACUAAACACAUUUAUUUUCUACUUUAUUUUCUCCUUUGUCUUGGAGAGGCAGAUAUACAUACCAUGAGGAAAUUGUAAUUAAUACGUACCUUGAGUGAGGUUGCAUUUCAGCAACAAAGUUAUAAGGUUACAACCAAUCCGUUCCUAGAAAUGGACAGUAAGAAAAUUCUGUUUCUCCUAAGCAAUAAAAAAUAAGAUAAAACAUGAUCUAAUUGAAUCUCUUUUUUAAAAAUAUAGGAACUCUCUCUUUUAAAUGAGGAGAUAUCAAUUACAAAAGAAUAGAGAGAGUAUUGUUCACCACCAACAAGUGUUAAUACUCUUAAAUUAUGAGCAAACUAAAUACUUGAAACAUGUGAUAUGUCCCUGGAAUGAAAAUGAAUGUAAACACACAUAUUAUCAAAUCUAUGGAUCAGAAUUUUAAAUCUCAAUGACCAGAGCCUAUUUCAUUUUGGGCAGAAUUAAGUAUAUCAAGUGGAAAGAAAACACCAAAAUUUCAUUUAUAUUUAAAAGUAAAUAAAUUAAGUUGUAAGGAAAUAUAGAUAUCUAGUGAGCUUAGAGCAAUAAGCAAAAUGAAAUGCAUAAACAGAGAAACAAAGUUUUCACUCAAACUGAAUUUAAAUUUAGUGAAUAUGCUUAGUGGAAAAACAACUAUUCAAGAACAUUCACCAAAGGAGAGAGCCUGUCACUCUUAAAAGAAAUACUAAACUUUCAUUUCCCCGGGAUGGAGCAGUGAGUUACUUACGUUAUUGUCUUCAGCAAGCAGGCUGCGCUCUAGGCUUCUAGGAAGAUGUAGACAUUGAAAUUUUAUGGGACUCUACAAGAUGCGUUCAAUUUGAGUUGAGACUCUACAAAUUGUAUUCGACUCAGAUUUACUCAACCCUUAACCCUAGUUUAUGCCUAUAUAAAGGGUAGUAAAUUCUCUUUAAAGGCAUCUCGGAAAUUACAUAAAGAGAUCAAGAUCUCGAAUACUCCACAAAUUGAUGGAUUAUUCAUAUAGAGAGAGAUCAAAUCUAAAUCAUUCUAGUUUGAGAAAAUACGCCACUAACGCCCUCGAAUCAUGGAUAAAUCCUAGGAGAGUAGAAUCAAGGGAUAAACAGAAUUGUACCCGCAAUCUAUCUUGAUUAAUAAAAUUAAUGUUUCUUCAUAUUUUAUUUGUAUGGUUUAUUUAUUUUCCAUAUGUUUAAAAUUUGUUGCAAAAAGAAGUACAAGUCACUUUUUAGAAGAAAAAACUAAAAGAAAAUUGAAAUGCUAGAAUAGAGGCACAAUCCAACUUUAACAAUUCUCAUGAUUAUGGCUCUCAGCAAGCGUGAUAGAGUUUUCUUCACUACAAAAUUCAAUAGAGAGUAUUUCCGUAUUCAUAUAAGAAAAAUAAAGUAAAAAAUAUCAAAGAAUACUCAGAUUGCCUCAUAGAUAGACAUUAUGGGAAUCAGAGUAAAUUUCUGAGCUAAAAAUUAACAACAUACCGAGUAUAAUCCAUAAAAUGGAUUUUUGGGAGGAUAAGGUGUAUAAAGACCCUACCCCUAAGGUAGAGAGUCUGUUUCCCAAAGACCUUCGACCUGGAAAAAAAUUAGAUGCGAAACUACAAAUAUAUCAAGAGGAUACAAAAUUAAUCUGAGAUGUCUGGCCAACCUAAUUAAAUACUAUAAAUUAGAAUAUAAGUUGCCUAAUUAUAUUCAGUUUCAACUAGUUACGAUCAUUACUUUCAUUACAAAUUUUGGUUACUUUGUUAAUUUAGGAGGCAGUAUGCUUGAUGAAAGAUGUAUGUAUAGAUGAUGUAAGUAUCUGUCAUCAACAGAUGUAAUGGUUCAUUUCUCAGAUCUCUAUCCCUGAAAAAAUAAUUAAAUGUCACAAACAAGUUUCUAACAAACAUUUGAUAAUGUUGUUUACACUAAUAUGAUAGAAGUAUAUAACUUCCCAUAAUUUUAUGAAAUGUAAGAUUGAUUAUGGUUGGAACAUAUAUAUAAAAAUGAAGUUGCGGCCACUUUUUGUAUAACAUAGUAAGAAAAUCACAUAAACCAGCUAGAGCAAGUGAACCGGAUCAUUAAAAUGAUUUAGCAGUGUUAAUCUCUCCACGGGUCUGAACUGCAACAACGUGGACAUCGAUAAGUUACAAAGUAUUUGAUAACUUAAAACGAUUACUCUUCUUAUUGUAUAUCGUUUCUAUGUUUAGAAUACAUUUCACAUUAUGACCUUGUUAUGAGGUUGAAUGAACCAGAACGCUACAAAAAUGUUGAUGAAUUGGUAAGUAAUUAUAGAACUUAAUUAACAAUAUUUGUGGAGUAUGAUGUGUAAUUGACAUAAAUCAACUCGUAAGUGAACCAAAGAAAUAGUGGUGAAAUACAUCGUUUGCUUAGAAAACAAAGGAAAAGAAAUAAGGUGAUCAUUUUUCCGUUGCUUAGUAGCUAAAAACUGAAAAGUCACUGUUGCAUAUAAAUGUUGUCCCAUGAUUUCUUCCAAAUUUAAUUAAAUGGUGGAGUACUCUUUACACACUCAUAUAGUUGAGUAUUCAUCAUCUCUAUGUAAUCAUAAGAACCAGUAGAGGAGAGACAGUUAGAAUAAGCUAUUUGUAAUGUACAAUAUUAUAGAAAAAAAAUAAUCACCUCUGACAAAUUAGUACACUUAUAAUCAACUCAUACAUUUAACAUUACUUACCAUAUAGAACAAUCAGCUAUUGUGAGGAGUCAUCUAUCCGCCUUAAGACCAACACUGAUGCAGCGAGGAAAGAAUUUGAAACUAAAGAUAUGUGAGAUUUCAUACGGUGAAAACAAGUGUACAUCAGGGUUACUAAACAACUAUUGGUGUACUAUAAUCAACAUUAUCUCCUAGAAAACUUUUAAAGGAAAGGGCAAAUAUCAAAACAUUAAUUGAAUUUGAGAGACAAUGCAGAAAAACAUUCAUUUUAUCUUUUGACAAAUCAUAAAUAUAACUUUGCAAAUAAUGCAAUUUAUCUCCUAGAAAACUUUUAAAGGAAAGGGCAAAUAUGAAAAAAAAAAUUAAAACAUUCAUCUUGAACUUUGAACAAUUUAAUUAUUUUGAACAAUGAAAAAAAAAUCAGUUAGUAUGGAAUAGAUUGAGUAAUAGUUAAAAUGUAUUAUCUCUUCAAAAUUAAGGUUUUGUUAUGAAACUACUUGAAAUUAGAAGACGAAUAAAGUAUGGAGAAAGAGAAAGAUUUCUUGUUCAUCUUGUAGUAUAUUUAGGAUUCAUUGAUCUUUCACAAAUCUUAUUUAUAAUGAAGGAAAGUCCUAAAUUUAUAGGGAAAAACCUUACUUGGUCCCCAGGUAGGAUUCCUAACCAUACCUAACAAGGACUCCACAUAAUUAGACAUUCACUAUAACACAAAUAUGUUUAUAACACUCCCCCUUGAAUGUAGGUAGAUUAUGUUCCUCACUAAAACCUUAGUAGAUAAACCAGUAGGAAAAAAAUAUAGUGAAGGAAAAAGAGUACACAAAAAUAAUAAUACGCAUUAUGGAUGCCUCAUUAAAAACCUUACAAGGAAAACUCAGUGGGACAAAACCUUGUGAGAAAAAAAAUGUACAUCGCGUAUUAACUCCCCCUAAUGACAACAUCAAUUCAGAGACUAGAAUCUUCAUUUUUCAAGCUUGUGCACCAUCUUCUUGAAAGUUGUAGUUGAUAGAGACUUGGUGAAUAAAUCAACAAUAAUGUUACUUGAACAUACCUCUUGCAUGUUAAUAUCACCAUUCUUGGGAGCUCAUGAGUGUAGAAAAUACUUGAUGAAAUAUGUUUUCUUCUAUCUGCUUCUAUGAAUCUUUCCUUCUGGAUCAAAGAUUUCUGCAAGUUCCUAACUUCUACUUAUUUAAGCAAAUAAUCCAUUGCCUUUUGAAAAAUCUUCAAGAGUUCUGAUUCUAGUUGUCAACUUGCAUAAUAAUACUUCUAUAUGCUUUAUGCAUUUUGAAUCAAUUUAAUCUUUAUGAGGACGAUAAAUAAGUUUUCCAAAAACUUGUAUAUGUUUUAGAUUUUGAACUCAUCGGAUAUUUUCAUAUCAAUUUUAUUAUGUGACAACGUUCAAUGUUAGAUGUAUGACAUCUUCUAGUGCCUAGAUUGCAAGUCAAAUAAGCUUAAGCUUGAUGCACCAUUCCACUUUUCACUUGAUUAUUAUUUCUACACCAGCAUGCUUUAAUAGUCGCAGAAUCUGUAGCAUAAUAAUCUUUUACAAUAUUGCGUGAUAUUGUAUCAAAGAUACCGUCAACGAUAUAUCAUUUUGCAUUGAUUCACAAUACGACAUAAUUUAUUGAGAUCUCAUUACUUCGUUAUUUUUAGGUAGCUACCCCUCUCAUGAGGUCUCAUAAAGUGUUAUGUCGUAGGCUCCCCAAGGGCACAUUAUCUUCUUAUGAUUAUCAUUUUGAUUCUUUGAUUCUCUCCUUUUUUUAAAGAUUAUUUUAUUUAGAAUUGAUUAGUCUAUCAUGCUUCAUGCAUGUCGUAGACUCUAUCUUUAAGCGACAUUCAAUAGGAGUAUUUACAACUUUUGUGUUGCUUCUAAUCUCCCCCCUUAUGUUAGACAAAGUAACAUAUAUCUCAAUAUUUGGAGAAUUUAUCCUUGUGUAUCAAUGUAUGUUCAUUGAUUAUAUACUACAUAUCAAAAUAAUUAGAUGAAAAAUAUUUGGUCCCCGACCAUAAAUCAAUUGAAAAAAAUUUGAUCAUAAUUUAUCGGUCUGAUGCGUACAAUUACUUUUUUAUGCAAUAUCGUAUUUCAUAUCAACAUAUGAAGCAUUAUUUUCAUAAACAAUGAUUUUACUAUUUGAGACAUUUAGUGUCACAUCAUUUUAGUAUUUAUCAAUAUUAUAAGAUAAAUUAUCUUGAUUACAUAUUCUGAAAUUGUGCUCUUAACUCAAUUAUUUUUGCACAAAUAAUUUUGUAAAUGUCAAACAACAUGUUGACAACAAACGCACAUGCGAUUACCUUAUAGAUGCAUCUUUUUAUCAUAUCACAUGAUAUGUGAACGGGCCCAUAUUCACCUUUUAUACUUUUCAAAAUUUAGGAAUUUAAUCCCAACUUUAGUUGAUCCAGUCAACUUUAUCACGAGAACAAGCAACGUAAAGAAUUCUUGAAGAAUAUUCUAGUUUUUCAAUGUAUGUCCAUUACUCAGUAUGCACAUCUUUGGGAUGACCAUAUUAUAUAUGCCAACUAAUAAAAUUAUUAGUACUCGUAAACUACAAGUUUACUACAUCAUGUGCCUUUCGCUUUAGUAAAUUUCUGAUUUACUAUUAUAUGAGUAAAAAUUUCAAUUUUAUUAAUCCAAGAGUAAUAUUCAGAUUUAUUUCUUCUCAAUUACUUCACCCUUUAGGUGAGUCGUGAUCCCAUCAUUGAAUGAAUUGUAUGAAGAAAAUUGUGCAUGUAACAUAUUAUUUGUGCCAACAUUUUUGCUAACAUCAAGUUGCGAGAUAAUAAUAGGCACACAUGAGACCAUAUAGAAGAAACAUUUAUUAGAACCAUUAAAUGUCUAAACAAUCCACUAGGUGGAUGACUAGGUCCACAAAUAUUUGUAUACAUUCCUAGAACGUAGAGAAUUCAAUCUCAACUUUCGUUUAUGAUGGUCUCACAAUUAGUUUGCCUUGCUAACAACCAUUACAAGAAAACUCACCAUUUAUAAGAAUUUUUAGGUUCUUCAAUGGAUGUCCAUUUUAAUUUUCCAUAAUUCGUCUAAACAUUAUAGACUAAUGAUGUCUUAGACAAUUAUGCCAAAUAAAGAAAGUACUGAAAUUAGAAAACUUCUUAUUUAUCAUAGAACGCGCCUCAAUUGAACUAAUUCUUGUCCAAUACAAGCCUGAAGAUAAAGCAUGAAACGUUUCUAUAAUACAUGUCUUAUUAGAGACAUUCUUGAUGAUACCACAUCGUUAACCAAAGGUUGCAAUCUUUCUCAUGCCUAGCAUGGUGGCUUACACCUCAUUCCCUUCAGAGAAUGGAUCUAUAUUUUUAGCAUUUAUCAAAGUUCUCAUUCUUCAUGAAUGAAACACAAAUAUGUGAGCAUAUCAAAUAAUGAUAGUUUUAGUACCUCAUUCCAUAUCUAUGUGCAUUAUUCAAUCACUUGUCUUCUUUCAGAUAUAUUAUGCACUACAACCACAUUCACUUUACGUAAUGAAGUAAAUUCAGUAAAUUUCAUGACUUCUCAUAAAAAACACAUUAGUUUUUCUUUAGUCAUUAUUAUAUCAAUAUGGUGCAUUGAGACACACAUUCAAUGUCUUAUCCAUAUAAAAGUGUAUUAGGUUAUGAAUCGAUGGAUCUUGAACCCAAUAUCUUAUCAUCAUGGUGCAACAGGACUUUAACCCAAUGUCUUACCUUCUUUUAGCUAUUGGACAUAAAUUCAUAGUCUUAUUCUUUUGGUGCGAUAAAAUUUAAAUCUGUCGUCUUACCCAUAAUGAGGCUCAACCUCAAGCCUUCAAAAUAUUGUAAUUUUAUCAAUUUUGAUGAUAACUAAUAUGAUCGUACAUUAUAAUUACACACAAAAUUGAGAUUAUUGAUUUAUCAUAAUCAACAUUAGAAGUUAAUAAAUAUAGCUUAAUAGAUCACAUACCUCAUAUAAAUGUUGAAAACAUAUCUUUCACUAAAUUGUGUUUAUUUAAUUAUUAAAAUAAAUUUAGGAAUUCUCUUUCGAGUCGAUUAAAAUUAAACGUAUUGAAAAUCAACAAGUCUCUUUAAAUACUUACUUUAGAUGGUACCUCCAGAUCUGUUAUAUAAAUAAUUAUAACAUAAAGAUAAAUCACACCUUGAAGAUAUAAGAACCUUAUUGCAUAACUUAUGCAAGAUCUCUUUUGCACUUUUCCCGUCUUCUUCGUCAUUCUUUAAGAAUAGAACAAUCGUGCUAUUAACGUGUCAUGAAACUAUAUGAAAUUAGAAGAAGAAUAAAGUAGGGAGAAAGAGAAAGAUUUCUUAUUCAUCUUGAAGUAUAUUUAGGAUUCAUUAAUCUUUUACAAAUCUUAUUUUUGUCCUGUAAGAUAAACUAGAGGCUCUGAUGCCACUGAUCUCUUGCUCUUCAUUAGUACCUUUUUUGGUGAAUAUUAUAUAAACUAGUUUCCGAGAAUGUGCGUUGCACGUUUAUCCUAAAAUCCUUCAUAUAAAGUUUGUACUGCAAAAAAUAAAUUUAGACUAUAUAUAUAUAUAUAUCAAGAAUUAGCUAUUAUCACAUUUGUUACCGACCCAAAGGUAUAUAUGUACAUUUCACAAAUUUCGUCGAUAAUUUAUUUCCUCGUAAAUUUAAAGAAUAAAGUUACAAUGGUUCAUAUCAACGUAUAAGACACCAUUGAAUCUCUUCAUCUUCAUUUUUAUUCUCUUCAUGGUAAUUUUUUUUAAUCUUUUUUUAAUUUUUUGUUAGUGAGUUGGAUUCACUUGGACAGAAAUCACAUCAACUUUUUGUCUUGUAGUAUAUUCCAUUGAUUUUCAUGAAUGCAGUGAGUAAGUUAGAAGUCUUUCUUAUUGUCCUUGUGUAAAAGACUCUUUUUUUUUAUUCGAGAAUCCAAUUAAGUGUUCCGUCUCAACUUCUAUAUAAUGAUUUUUGUAUAAAAAUCAAACAAAAAAUUUAUUAAGACCACAUCGACUUACAUAGAAGCAAUUAAUUGCAUGUAAGGAACAAUGAUAUAUUACCUGGAAAUCGAUACCACUUGAAACGGUUCAAUGUGUGUUGCUUCACUUACUACAUCAUCACUAUGAAAUAUUAACGUCAUUUCUUAACUGUAUCUUCAUAAAAAAAAGUCAAAUUGACAAAACUCUUUAGUAGUUGAAAUAUUCAACAAAUAGAUGAGUUAAAAUAAAGAUAAAUAAAAUAUUGAGCAUAAAAAACUCAGAUAAGAAAAUAAUAGAGAUAACAUGAUUACAUGAGAAAGUAGAAUACAUAAUAUAGGAAAAUGGAGAAUCUGCUAAUAGAAGAUAAAAACGUUACAAAUUAAGUGAUUCAAGAAGUGACCUUUUGAUAUCUUGAACCUAACACCUUAAUAUGAGUUUUUUUUUUAAAAAAAAAAUGACAAUGGUUUAAAGAGCAUAAUAAAAGUAGGUAACUUAAAAGGCUAACUCAUUAUUGCUAUAUUUUUGAAAUUAUUUAUUCCAAUGCAUGUAUAUUUUUUUAUCUAGUAAAAUUUUAUCUAGAAAUCAAUUAUGAAUGAAGGACAAUUAUGUUAUUAACUUCAGUAAGUAUUAUUUAAUAAUAUCUAUCAUAUGAACUAAUAUCUAAAACAUAAUUAACUAUUAUAGGAGUAAAAUAUUAAUUGAACUUUGGGUUUUGGAGGUUCACACUUAUAAUAAUAUAUGAUUCUAUGUCUUCUCAAAAUUAUUUAGAACAACUUCUUAUAAGGUUACAACCAAUCCGUUCCUAGAAAUGGACAGUAAGAAAAUUCUGUUUCUCCUAAGCAAUAAAAAAUAAGACAAAACAUGAUCUAAUUGAAUCUCUUUUUUAAAAAUAUAGGAACUCUCUCUUUAAAUGAGGAGAUAUCAAUUACAAAAGAAUAGAGAGAGCUAUUGUUCACCACCAGCAAGUGUUAAUAGUCUUAAAUUAUGAGCAAACUAAAUACUUGAAACAUGUGAUAUGUCCCUGGAAUGAAAAUGAAUGUAAACACACAUAUUAUAUACUUGUCUCUAACCAUUGCAUUUUCCUUUACUGCUUCCGGAACUCCAGUCAUAGUCCUUUAACUUUCCGUCAAAUCUAUGGAUCAAAAUUUUACAUUAGGGGCUUUAUAUCUCAAUGAUCAGAGCCUAUUUCAUUAUGGGCAGAAUUAAGUAUAUCAAGUGGAAAGAAAACACCAAAAUUUCAUUUAUAUUUAAAAGUAAAUAAAUUAAGUUGUAAGCAAAUAUAGAUAUCUAGUGAGCUUAGAGCAAUAAGCAAAAUGAAAUGCAUAAACAGAGAAACAAAAGUUUUUACUCAAACUGAAUUUUAAUUUAGUGAAUAUGCUUAGUGGAAAAACGUCUACUGCUAAACUAUUCAAGAACAUUCACCAAAGGAGAGAGCCUGUCACUCUUAAAAGAAAUACUAAACUUUCAUUUCCCCCGUGUGGAGCAGUGAAUUACUUACGUUAUUGUCUUCAGCAGGCAGGCUGCGCUCUAGGCUGCUAGGAAGUUGUAGACAUUGAAAUUUUAUGAGACAAGAUGCGUUCAAUUUGAGUUGGGACUCUACAAAUUGUGUUCGACUCAGAUUAGGAUUCUUGGAGGUUACUCAACCCUAAACCCUAGUUUAUGCAUAUAUAAAGGGUACUAAAUUCUCUUUAAAGGCAUCUCGAAAAUUACAUAAAGAGAUCAAGAUCUCGAAUACUCCACAAAUUGAUGGAUUAUUCAUAUAGAGAGGUCAAAUCUAAAUCAUCCUAGUUUGAGAAAAUACGCCACAAAUUGAAGAAAUGAUAGAAUCUCACACGUUAGAGUGACAUUUCAAAUAAGAAGUUUACUUGAAUACACCUGCAAUGUAAACAACUCUUACAUUAUCAACGUAUUUUACUGGAAAGUACAAGUCAAUAUAAUGUUACCCUAUCUAGUGUUGGGUUAUGGGUCUUUUUUCCCUUCCUAUGUGGAUAAAUAAAAGCCCAAUUUGGACCAACCCAUUUUUGCUCAUAGGCCCAUUCUUAUGAGGCAAAUAUAAGCCUAUUUAGGUCUUAUUUUCAAAUACACAGAGAGUUUUUUGGCAGCCAAAAGAGAGAAAAAGAGCAGAUUUUCGCAGUCAAAAUUCAGCCCUAACAGCCAACUUCAAAUUGCGAUUCCCGCUUUGUUUCUUGUCCGAUUGAGCUGAUUUUUGGACAGCAUAUUAUCUUCAUCUCAAUCUUUGAUUAGGAACUGACAGAGUUGGAUUUGGUGGCCUGCAACUUCAGUUUUGCUGUCGUGAAUAGUAGCUGCGAAAUUGGUGAUUUUGCUACUUUAAUUCUCUAGAUUUGGUGCAAUCUUAUUUUGUUAUUGCUCGUUGUUUGGCACUUGUUUUGUGGCCAAUUUUGGAGAACAAUAUUGUAACUCUUGGUGAUUAUAGUGGAGCUUUUGGUCCCGUGGUUUUUUACUCUUCACAUCGAAGGGUUUUCCACGUAAAUCUUUGUGUCUUGUGUGAUUGGUUUAUCAUUGUCUUGUUAUAUUUGUUUGAUUGAAUUACUUGCUGCCUUACUAUCAUAUUGCUUGUGGUUGUUUGUCUUCUCUUGGUUCAAAUCCAAAAGGGAAAGUAUAGACUUGGGUACUCUUCCGCUGUUAUCCUGUUAGGCAUUCUUUGUUAGUAUCUUGUCUUUCCCAACAAAGUGGUAUCAGAGCAUUGGUUAUUGUUGAUUGUCAUUUUGAAUGAUGGAGGCAAAUAUGAGCAAAAUGGUGUGUUUAACUGGUAUUAACUAUCAUAUUUGGAAGGCAAGAUGAAAGAUCUUCUAUUUGUCAAGAAGAUGCAUUUACCUGUGUUUGCUUCUAAUAAGCCUCAGUCUUUGAAUGAUGAAGAAUGGAAAUUUGAGCAUCUACAGGUUUGUGUCUAUAUUAGACAAUGGGUUGAAGAUAAUGUUAGAAAUCAUAUUGUGAAUGAGACACAUGCCAAAAGUUUGUGGGACAAGCUCGAGACACUUUAUGCUUCGAAGACUGGCAACAACAAGUUGUUCCUAUUGAAACAAUUAAUGAAUAUCAGGUAUAAAGAGGGCACUCCUAUUUCUGAUCAUAUUAAUGAUUUUCAGGGUGUUCUUGACCAGCUGUCCGGAAUGGGUGUAAAGUUUGAUGAUGAGAUACAGGGACUUUGACUUCUUAAUACUCUGCCAGACUCUUGGGAAACUCUUCGAGUUUCUUUGACUAAUUCUGCUCCCAGUGGUGUUGUAACCAUGGAAUAUACUAAGAGUGGUGUCUUGAAUGAAGAAAUGAGAAGAAGAUCUCAAGCCUCAUCUUCUUCAUCUUCACACUCCGAUGUUUUGGUUACUGAAGAUAGGGGGAGAAACAAGUCCAGAGGUCAGAAUGAUAGAGGUAAAAGUAGAAGCAAGUCAAAGUCUAAAUACAAGAAUAUUACAUGUGACUAUUGCCACAAGAAUGGGCAUAUCAUGAAAUAUUGUUACAAGCACAAGAGAGAUAUGUGACAACAAAAGAGAGAAGGCGAUAAUGAAAAUCGUGUUGUUGUUGUUGCUAAUGAUGAUCUUCUUGUUUCUUGUGAUGCAAAUGAUAUUAAUCUUGUUCGUGAUGAGUCUAGCUGGUUUGUGGAUUCUGGUGCUACUUCUCAUGUCACGCCAAAGAAGGAAUUAUUUUCUUCUUAUACUCUAGGUAAUUUUGGAACGUUGAAAAUGGGCAAUGAUCAUGAAGUUGAAGUUAUUGGCAUUGGGACAGUUUGUUUGGAAAGUAACAAUGGUUCCAAACUAGUUCUUAAUAAUGUCAAGCAUGCUCCAGAUGUUCGCUUGAAUUUGAUUUCUGUGGGAUAUCUUCAUGAUGAGGGUUAUGUUAAUACACUUGGUGCUGGCCAAUGGAAGCUUACUAGAGGUUUGAUGGUUGUGGCCCGUGGUGACAAGUUGUCUAACUUGUAUGUAUUUCAGGGCUCCAUGUCCAGAAACUCAGUAAAUUUGGUGGAGAAUGAUACUUCAUCAGAGUUAUGGCAUAGAAGGCUAAGUCAUAUGAGCGAGAAGGGGAUUGAUAGUUUGGCUAAGAAAAAUUUGCUUUCUGGAGUGAAACAAGUAAAUUUGAAGAAAUGUGUUCAUUACUUAGCCGGUAAAUAGAAAAGAGUUUCUUUUCAGAGUCAUCCGCCUUCAAGAAAGCUCGAUUUGCUGGAGUUGGUACAUUCUGAUUUGUGUGGUCCUUUUAAGGUAAGAUCUCAUGGUGGUGCACUUUACUUUGUGACUUUUAUUGAUGAUCAUUCUCGCAAACUCUGGGUAUUUCCUUUGAAGUCCAAGGAUCAAGUACUUGAUGUGUUCAAGGGUUUUCAGGCCUUGGUUGAAAGACAAACAGGGAAGACAUUGAAAUGCAUCCUCUCAGAUAAUGUUGGUGAGUAUAUUGGUCCUUUUGAUAGAUAUUGCAGAGAGCAGGGUAUUAGGCAUCAGAAAACUCCUCCAAAGACUCCUCAGUUAAAUGGUUUAGCAGAGAGGAUGAACAGAACUCUAGUUGAGAGGGUUAGAUGUAUGCUUUCAGAUGCUAAGCUGUCAGAUUCCUUUUGGGUAGAAGCACUUAAUACUGCUGCUUAUGUUAUCAAUUUAUCUCCUGCUGUUGCUUUAGAUGGUGAUAUCCCUGACAGAGUUUGGACUGGUAAGAAUGUUUCUUAUGAUCAUCUUAGAGUCUUUGGGUGUAAAGCCUUUGUACAUGUUCCUAAGGAUGAAAGGUCAAAGUUGGAUGUUAAAACUAGGCAGUGUAUCUUCAUUGGUUAUGGUCAAGAUGAAUUUGGCUAUCGUUUCUAUGAUCCUGUUGAGAAGAAACUUGUUAGAAGCCGUGGUGUUGUGUUCUUUGAAGACCAAACAAUUGAAGAUUUUGAAAAAGCUGACAAGGCUGAUUUUCAGACUAGUGAGAGCUUAGUUGAUGUUGAUCCAGUUCCUUUGACUAUUGCACCGGAAGAAAAUCUUCAUAAUGAUGAAAAUCAAGUUGAUAAUGAAGAUGGUGAUCAUGUUCAGAAUGACCGGCAUGAUGUUGUUGAUGCUCCAGUGCAAGAUGAUGUGGUUGUCCAACAACCAAUUAUAGAUGCUCCAGAGAGUUCUCUCAGACGAUCUAGUAGAGAGAGAAUUCCUUCAUCUCGUUAUUCUCCCAAUGAGUAUGUACUCUUGACUGACGAGAGAGAACCUGAGAGUCUUGAUGAGGCCAUGGAAAGUGAAGAAAAAGAAAGGUGGUUUGAUGCUAUGGAAGAUGAGAUUAAAUCCUUGCAUGAAAAUCAUACCUUUGAUUUGGUUAAGUUACCUAAAGACAGAAAAGCUUUGAAAAACAGGUGGGUUUUUCGGGUGAAACAUGAAGAUGGUAAUCCAGUUCCACGGUACAAAGAUAGAUUAGUUGUCAAGGGAUUUAAUCAAAAAAAAAGAGUUGAUUUUGAUGAGAUAUUCUCUCCAGUUGUGAAGAUGUCAUCCAUUUGUGUGGUUCUAGGCUUGGCUGCAAGUCUAGAUUUAGAGGUUGAACAAAUGGAUGUUAAAACUGCUUUCCUCCAUGGUGACUUAGAUGAAGAAAUUUAUAUGGAGCAAGCGGAAGGUUUUGAAGUCAAGGGUAAAGAGAAUUAUGUUUGCAAAUUGAAGAAGAGCUUGUAUGGUUUGAAACAAGCUCCCAGGCAGUGGUACAGGAAGUUUGGUUCUUUUAUGAGUCAGCAGGGCUUCAAGAAGACUUCUUCAGACCAUUGUGUUUUUGUGCAAAAGUUCUCUGAUGGUGACUUUAUUAUUGUGUUGCUUUAUGUUGAUGACAUGCGUGUUGUUGGUCAUAAUACUUGCAGGAUUCAGAAGUUGAAGCAAGAGCUGAGUAAGUCUUUUGCUAUGAAAGACUUAGGACCAGCAAGGCAGAUUCUUGGCAUGCAGAUUGUCCGUGAUAGAAAGGCCAAGAAAUUGGUAUUAUCACAAGAGAAGUACAUUCAGAAAGUACUUCACAGAUUCAGCAUGGAUAAAGCUAAGGUUGUCAAUACACCUUUAGCUAUGCACUUCAAAUUGAGCACGAAACAGUGUCCUUCUAGUGAUGAUGAGAAGGAAGAUAUGAAGAAAGUUCCUUAUGCUUCAGUUGUUGGUAGUUUGAUGUAUGCGAUGGUUUGUACAAGACUGGAUAUUGCUCACGCUGUUGGAGUUGUUAGCCGUUUUCUUUCUAAUCCGGGAAGAGAACAUUGGAAUGUUGUGAAGUGGAUUAUGAGAUAUCUCUGUGACACUUCUAGUCUGAGUUUGUGUUUUGGUACAGGGAAGCCUAUUCUUUGUGGUUAUACUGAUUCAGACAUGGCUGGUGAUGUUAAUACUCGCAAGUCUACUUCAGGGUACUUGGUUACUUUUGCAGGGGGAGCUGUGUCUUAGCAAUCUAGGUUGCAAAAAUGUGUUGCUCUAUCUACUACAGAAGCUGAGCUUAUUGCUAUCGUUGAAGCUUGUAAAGAAUUGCUUUGGAUGAAGAGAUUCUUGGAGGAACUUGGUUGUGCUCAAGAGAGGUAUGUGCUUUAUUGUGACAGUCAAAGUGCUAUACAUCUUGGCAAGAAUUUUACGUUCCAUGGUCGGUCUAAACACAUUGAUGUGAGAUACCAUUGGAUUCGAGAUGUGUUGGAUUCUAAGUUGCUUAAGCUUGAAAAGAUUCAUACGAAUGACAAUGGUUCCGAUAUGAUGACUAAAGCUUUGUCAAGAGGGAAGUUUGAAGAUUGUUGCAUGGUCGCCGGGAUGGCGGUCUCCUCCACAUACUCGUGAGGGGGAGUAUUAUUGGGUUAUGGGUCUUUUUUUCCUUCCUAUGUGGAUAAAUAAAAGCCCAAUUUGGACCAACCCAUUUUUGCCCAUAGGCCCAUUCUUAUGAGACAAAUAUAAUCCUAUUUAGGUCUUUUUUUCAAAUACACAGAGAGUUUUUUAGCAGCCAAAAAGAGAGAAAAAGAACAGAUUUUCGCAGUCAAAAUUCAGCCCUAACAACCAACUUCAAAUUGCGAUUCCCGCUUCGUUUCUUGUCCGAUUGAGCUGAUUUUUGGACAGUAUAUUAUCUUCAUCUCAAUCUUUGAUUAGGAACCGACAGAGUUGGAUUUGGUGGUCUGCAGCUUCAGUUUUGCUGUCGUGAAUAGUAGCUGCGAAAUUGGUGAUUUUGCUACUUUAAUUCUCUAGAUUUGGUGCAAUCUUAUUUUGUUGUUGCUCGUUGUUUGGCACUUGUUUUGUGGCCAAUUUUGGAGAACAAUAUUGUAACUCUUGGUGAUUAUAGUGGUGCUUUUGGUCCCGUGGUUUUUUACUCUUCACAUCGAAGGGUUUUCCAUAUAAAUCUUGGUGUCUUGUGUGAUUGGUUUAUCAUUGCCUUGUUAUAUUUGUUUGACUGAAUUACUUGCUGCCUUACUAUCAUAUUGUUUGUGGUUGUUUGUCUUCUCUUGGUUCAAAUCGAAAAGGAAAAGUAUAGACUUGGGUAUUCUUCCGUUGUUAUCCUGUCAGGCAUUCUUUGUUAGUGCCUUGUCUUUCCCAACAUCUAGUUACAAGUUGAUUCAACCAACAUGCGUGCAAGUUGACAUUGGCACCAUGGUUAUAGAAAAGGGAUAAAUGCAUGUUAAAUGUUAACUGACAUCACAAUAGUCUUGAGCAGAUAAUGCUUGGACCUUUGAAUGCCAUUAGCAAUGAGAAAUCAAAAUAAUUAUUGUAGGCAACUGGUGACUACAAAAAUCAAAGAAGAACUUUUAAACAAAGACUUCACUUUUAGUCUUCAGGUCACAUGCCAAAACAUUGUUCAUUCAUCUUGUUUACACCUAAUAUUUUUUUGUCUCAAUAUUAAAGAGCUUUUGGAUCAAUACAAUAUAACAUUCUCAUCACUAGUAAGAUAACUAUUUAUAGACUUUGUUUUGAUGCUAUAUAUAGGCCUCGAUUAUAUAUGGAUGAAUGAGCACUCAAAAAAGUGUGCAUUAAAAUCUCUCAAGACGAUAUAGAAUGCAAGAUGUCAUGAGAAAAAAAGCUACAUAUUAGAAAUUUAAUGAAAGAAGAAUUUAGAACCACAUGCAUAUUCAAGUUCGACUAAUAAGAUAUCAAAGGGGACUGACAAAACAUAAUAGGCUGCUACUCUAGGCUCGUGUCACUUCUUCAAGAUCCACUCCUUUCAAAAAUUAACAAACCACACUGAAGAAUCAGGUGAUGUUCAAUCUAACUUGGACUAUUUCAUUGAAUACUUAUUUACUUGGACUAUUUCAUCGAAUACUUAUUACCUUCCUAUCUAGCUUUGGAUUCAUUGAAAUCACUAGCUUCUCCCAUGAGUAGGUUUGGCAUUGUUGCCAUUGUCAAUUUUCUGCAUUCGAGAGAUUAUUUCCAUAUAUAGAGAGUAUAAAGAUUACACAUCCCUAAAUAUCCGCCAUUCCUAUCCCUAAAGAUCAACUAUUCUAUCUCGACAAAUAUGCUAUUCAAUCCCUCUAAAUUUGUUUUACUAUCCCUCCAAAUCAGUCAUUCUAUCACAAUAUUUAUUUCUCUGAUUCUACAACAAAAUCUAUAUGAUAAUACAAAUUUAUAGAACUAUAUAAUUACUUUAAUGUAUGCAACUAUUUAGAUUUUUGUCAUGCUAACAUCCCCCUUUAAAUCUAUGCUGGUGGAUGAAGAAAUAUCAAUUUACCUACUAAAAACUGAUGGUGUUUGUAACAAACAGUAAUCACAAAAGAAACAGUAGCCAAACUCUUUCACUGAUAGUAUUUACUGGUGUACUAAGGUAACAUAGACAUAGUACUAAUACAAUAGAAAUCGCAUAAGAUAAAGUAACUGGAAUAGAUAGUAGAAGGAUAUGAGAAAUCAGAAGAAGGGGAUGAGAAAUCAGAACCGAGUCAAAACAUAUUCGCUGCUCUGCAAUGUCGUACUACUAUUGAUUUUUUAUCUGACUCGUUUAACAGACCUUGCCGUUUUACUUAUGUACCCCUACUCUUUUCCAAAAGUAAUCCCCAAGUUUAGCAGGAGGAAUCACCUUUCUAGCACUCCUACGUGGCAUAACCAUGUGUUGUUCCAUUAUUUCAUCCUCCGUGUCAUCCUUGUCAUCUACCAACGUGUUUGAGUUCACAACAGUGUUGUCGUGCCAUGUUUUUUGUAAACACAUCAUCUAUUUGAAGAUCAUUGGACACAUGUGGAAGAGUAAGGGCUCCUUUAUCUACAGUUUCUCAUAUAUAAUGACAGUCUACUUCGAUGGGUUUGGCCUCCUCACGAAAAACUGUAUUAGUAGCAAUCUCAAUAGCACUUAUAUUGUUAGCGUGGAGAGGGGUAGGAUGAGAUUCAUGAGGAAAUAUAAUCUCAAAAAGUAAUCCACAAAUCCAUACUACCUCGAAGAAAGCAGUAGACAUGGAUCGAUGUGCAACCUCUAUUGAAGAUUUUGACACACGAUCUUGCCAGUGAAGGAGACAGGAGUUUCAUCGAGGGGGUUCAAAAAGAUAAGUAAGCACGAUAAUAGUAUCCAUAUAGGCGGGGCGACUCAAUUAUAAAUGGGUAGAAUAAGAUAUAAGCAACCAAAAAUAUUCAACUCCACCUCAACCAAAACAAUAAAUCGAGUAACUAUAUGUUUGACAUAACAAAAAAAUAUAAGUACACGAGAAUAUAUUUUUUUAAACCUAUAAUUAUGGGUCUUAUUAGUGUUAUUGUUGUAUAUAAAUGUUAUUUAAUUUUUGAAACUAAAAAGGAUUAAUUUUGAAUUCGAUCAUAUUGUAGCAAUAGAAUUUGUGUCGAGAAAAUAAUUAUCAAGAUGGGAAAAUAUCGCGACAAUCGUAUUUAUUUAUAAAUUUCAAAUAAUUACUCUUAUUUAUUUGAUCUUACUUAUAAUUAUAUUCUUUAUUAAUCAAAUGUAAAAUAAAUGUUUGACUUAAAAUGAGUAUGAGAGAAUGUUUUUUUUUAAUUCUAAUUAUAAAAACUUAAAACACAUUGUAAGAUUUACUUAAUUUUAUAAAAAUAGAAAAGAAAUUUAUUUUUAAUAUCUAAUAAAAUAUUAUAAAUCCCAAUAGAUUUUCAAACAAAACAAUUUUUUAUUUAUUUACAAAUAAAAAUGAAAAUUAGUUGAAAAUAGGGCGGAAAACGGUGUUAUCUGAAAUUGAAUCCGCUAAGCCAAGCCUUUGGCAUACGUUCAGGGGGUUCAUCACCUAAUAUAUACGUAUAAAUCAAAAAAUUGAUCCUAUAUGUAUCGUGUAAUUUUUUCAACGAUGCGGGUUCGGAUGAACCCCCUUGGAUCCAUGUAGGUCUGCCCCCGGAUCUUGUUUUUUACUCUUCUAAGAUAUCAAUGACUCUCCAGUGGCUAAAUGACGAGUAUUAAGACAUCUCUCUCAAUCAGAAUCACUAAAAGCAUUAAGAUGAAUAGGAGAAACACUUGUAAAGAACAAUCCACGAGUAGAUGUUCCUAGAAGAUACCAAAUGAUACGACGGACAACCACCAAAUGGAGAUGUGGGGAGCUUGCAUGAAUUGACUAACUUGUUGAACUGCAAAAGAGAUAUUAUGUCUAGUAAAAGUAAAGUAAUUUAGACUCCCAACAAAUUGUAGAAAUAUAGUUGGAUCAUGAAGAAGAUCAUCUUCCUCACGACAAUACUUCACAUUCAAUUUUAAUGGAGUAUCUACAGAGAAGAAAUCUUAAAGACUAACCAAAGAAAUCAGAUCCUAAGUAUAUUUGUGUUAAUUUAGAAACACACCUCAAACAUUAUUAUGAACUUUCAAACCCAAGAAAUAUGUAAGAGUACCAAGAUCUUUCAUAUGAAAAGAAUCUUUUAAGUUGUCUUUGUAGGCUAGUGAUUAAUGAAGGAUUCCUAUGAUGAUAAUGUCAUCUACAUACACCAAAAGAAGAACACAAAAUGUUGAUGUUUUUCGAAGAAACAAAGAUGAGUCAUUGUUGACACCCAUUUUUUAUCUUCCCCGAUAGAAAUUAACUGACGAGCUUUUAAAUUUUCGAACUAUUUAUAAAGUACAAAUACUCUGCAUAGUCAUUUCAAAUAGUUUUAAUCGUUUUUAUGCAUAUUUUAUUAAUUUAGUGUCAGUUUGAAAUAUUGUUUUAAAUUUUUGAAUUAAUUAGUGAGUGUUCAAAUUAAUUAUUUCACAAGUAAGUUAAUUAUUUUAUUUUGUUAAGAUCGCGAAGCUUGCAAAUGAAUUAUAUAAAUUCAUCCUAUUUAAUUAUAAUUUUUUGAAGCUGGAACUGAUAAGACGUAAUAAAAAAACACGCAGCACAAUGCCUUUUUCUAAAAAAAGAAAAAAGCUAUAAAGAAAAAUUAUACUUCAAUAAAAUAAUUAAAAUAAGCAUCUUAUUAUUUUUUUACAUAGUUAAAUUUUGUGUGUUUUACAAAAUUUAACGAAAAAUUAAUUCAAAUUAGUUGGGUGCUUUUUAAGUAAAAUAUUAAUAGUUACUCGACUUUUUAUGUGAACUUUUAAUAGUGGAGUGACUUUCGAGUUAUAAAACAAAGUUAAGUAUUUUUCAAACGAACAAUUCAAAGUUGAGUGACUUCCUAAAUAUGAACUCUUAAAAGUUGUAUGCUUGCAGUUUCCUUUUGUUACACAUAUUUCAUCAUCAACAGAACAACAAGGACUAGUAAAAGAGGACAAAAGAAACAGCAACAACGGUGAUAAUACCACAAUUGCACCACCAUUUAUAGACUUUCUUGGAGUAGGAGCCACUUGAAUAAUUGAAAUCUUCUUUUUUCUUUCCAAGAAAAAGGCGCCCUCUCUCCCCUUGUAUUAGUAAGCAUGUAACAAGUAUUUUAGUUUUUUUCAUUCUAUUAUUAUGUGUCAAUUUAUGAUACUGAAAGCAUAUAAAAAAAAGACUCCACUUUGCAAACUAUUAACAAUAAGAUGUUGUCACUUCUCAUUUGUUUUAGUAGUGAGAUCAAAUAGUGUGACCACAAUAAGCUUCAUAAUUCUUUGGUCAUUGAAAUUAAAUGUCACAUAUACUCUGGUGGCGAAGUUAAGAAUUUCGCGAAAGAUAUUUAAGAUAAAUUAUGCAUCAUGUAAGGUACAUAGUCUUUAAGAAUAGACACAAAACUAUAAAAAUAAUUUAGUUAUUUUUUGAACUUUUAGGACCUAUAAUUUUCUUUUGAAGCUUAUUGCUUUAAAUAUGACAAUUUGUGUGAUUAUGAUAUCUUCUAAGCAAAGGUGGAAUGCAUAUAUAGAUAGUAUAUAUAAUGUGAAAAGUCAAAAGAUUAAAGUGUUUUAGAGCUUUUCUCUGUUCAUCUGAUACUUUUUUUUGUAAUCCGUCCUAAAAAACAGACGGAGUGACAGACAUUAAUCCUUCUAAAUCUGCUUUAUUAUCCCUCCAAAUCAACUAUUCUAUCACAAUAUUUAUGUAUCUGAUUCUACCACAAAUCUAUACGAUAAUACUAAUUUAUAGCUCUAUAUAACUACAUUAAUAUAUUCAAUUAUUUAGAUGUCAAUCGUGCUAACAACCUUCACCCCAAAAUCAUGUUUCACUCUUUCGUUAGUCAUCUACAGCUACAGAUUCGUCACCAUUGGUAGUGCCUUGGCUAGCUUUUUGUUCCUGGGAUAAAAGAAAUCGGUUUGCUUCAGAUUUCUAAUUAAAAUUAUUGUAGAAGGAAGUUGCUUCAAUUGACAAACACUAAUAAGUAUCAGAAUAUUACUUUUAAGUUAAGAUAGAAAAAGAGCACUAGAGUAAAUUAGUUAUACAAUUAACGGUACUAGACAAACCUUAGAAUUGAACCACUGUUGUGUCCAUUUAUUUAGAUCGUCCACUUUCACUUCAUAACCAUCAUUCACUGAUUCGAGACUCGGUGUACUCACAGAUAUUCCAUGUUGGACAAACGUAUUCAUUUCCGGGCACUCAUGAAUUGUCACUUCUCUGAGAAAUGGAAAUUUAAGAGGAUGCUCAGUUAGAAAGAAAUGCACCAGCUUAGGCAGUUCUUUAAGCUUCAACUCGUUCAACAGGGGAAAUAAGGUCAUUAUUUCUUCUCCUUGUUGUUCCUCUUUUGAGAUCACUUCUUCCAUUGAUGCACAUUCUUCUAUCCCUAAACUUCGGAGGUUUAGAAGACCUCGAGCCACUGAUGGAGGCAUCAAGUUUCUCAAGUUUCCACAAUUCCAUACACGCAAUCUUCCAAGUUUGCUGAAGUAGGCACUUGAAAGUUGGUCAGAGCAUAGAGCAGUUAUGCUUUCAAGCUCCCAGAUUCUUAGUUCUUCCAAGUUGGGAAAAGAAACCUGCAAGUAUUAUAAAGCAAUUCAGAAUUUAAAAUUUAUUGGUAUCUCUAAUAAACUUGAGUUCAUAUCUAAUAACAAUCACGGUAUAUCUAGAUAUUACUAAUGCAGCAGCAGACCAGGAGUGCAUGACACAAACCUUAGAAUUGAACAUUGCUUUCACCUCAUCAUCAUUGUUCAUAGUACUUUCGAGACACACAGAUAUUUCCUUUUGGACAAACGUCUUCAUUUUAGGGCACUUACUAAUUGUCACUUCUCUGAGAAAUGGAAAUUCAGUAACACUCUUUGUCAGAAAGAAAUGCCUCAGCUUAGGCAGAUUGACAAGAAGCACUUCUUCCAACAGGGGAAAUAAGGUCAUUAUUUCUUUUCCUAGGUGUUCCUCUUUUGUGAUCACUUCUUGCAUUGAUGCACAUCCUUUUAUCCGUAAACUUCGGAGGUUUAGAAGACCUCGAGCCACAGAUGGAGACAUCAAGUUUCUCAAGUUUCCACAAUCCCAUACAUCCAAUCCUUUAAGUUUGCUGAAGUAGGCACUUGAAAGUUGGUCAGAGCAUAGAGCAGUUAUGCUUUCAAGCUCCCAGGUGAUUAGCUCUUCCAAGUUGGGAAAAGAAACCUGCAAGUAUUAUAAAGCAAUUUAGAAUUUGAAAUUUAUAGAUAUCUCUAAUGAACUCGAGUUAAUAUCCUAUAACAAUCGCGGUAUCUCUAGAUAUUACUAAUGCAGCAGCAGACCAGGAGUGUAUGACACAAACCUUAGAAUUGAACAUUGUUUUCACCUCAUCAUCAUUGUUCACAGUACUUUCGAGACUUACAGGUAUUCCCUGUUGGACAAACGUCUUCAUAUAAGGGCACUCACGAAUUGUCACUUCUCUUAGAAAUGGAAAUUCAGUAACACGCUUUGUCAGAAAGAAAUGCCUUAGCUUAGCCAGAUUGUCAAGACGCAGUUCUUCCAAUCGAGGAAAUAAGGUCAUUAUUUCUUCUCCUAGUUGUUCCUCUUUUGUGAUCACUUCUUCCAUUGAUGAACAUCCUUCUAUCCAUAAACUUCGGAGGUUUAGAAGACCUCGAGCCACUGAUGGAGACAUCAAGUUUCUCAAGUUUCCACAAUUCGAUACACGCAAUCUUUUAAGUUUGCUGAAGUAGGCAGUUGGAAGUUGGUCAGAGCAUAAAACAUUUAUGUUAUUAGCCACAUGGAUAUAUAGCUUUUCCAAGUUGGGAAAAGAAACCUGCAAACAUUGAAGUAUCAAACUUUGAUGUAGAAAACACUACGCCAAAAGCGCUUAGACAUAUUUAUUUAUAUUUAUAAUUGUAUAUGAGAAAAAAUUUCAAAUAUAUAAAAUUAAUGGGCCAGAAUUAGGGGUAAAGAGAAACUAAGCAAAUACCACAUAAAAACAAAAUAGUUACAAAUAUAUAUUCUCUUACAUUCAUACUCCACUAAAUAAUUACACUAUAUAACCCUUAAGUCAUCAAUAUCAUAUAUUAUAUUGGUAUUAUUAAUGAUGAUAAUUUCGCUUAACUUAUACUAAAUCAGCAAGUAUAUAUAUACUAUAAUGUUAUCAUUAAGGUUUUUUCAGAAAUUGCUCAUUAAACAAUGAAAUUAUAAGAGUAUAUACACAUAUUAUCCGUUAACAAGGGUACAUGAAAUUAUUCUAUUUAAAUUGAUAAAAUGAGAUUGUGAAGAGAAAAAGUUAUUUCCUACAUUUUUAUCAGUUAAAGUGAUUCUAAAAUAAAUAAAACAAGAACAAAGUUCUUUAAAAGUAAUAAUUUUAUCAAGAAUAAGAUUUUUUUAGAAGAAAAGAAUUAAUUAAUUAUUCGGAAAAUGACAUUUUUGACCUAUUUGGUAACAAUAGGGACAUUUUUGGAUCAAACUACUAAAUGGCAAGGGUAUUUUUGGACCAAAGUGUUAAGGGAAAAAUCAUUUUUGGACCAAACUAUAAACAACACAAUGUAAUUUUAAGACACUUUUUUACCCCUUUUCAAAAAAAUAAUUUACAAUAUAGCUACCAAAAAAAAAAAUCUUAAAUUUAUUCUUACUAUUUUCUUCUUUUUUCCAUAUUUAUUUGUUUUUACUCUAAAAAAAGAAAUAGAAUAAGAAUCUCAAAUAAUGAUUAAAAAAAUAAAUUCAUAAGUGAUAUAUUAAAAACUUAUAUUAGUCGUGGAAUAAAAAAGGUCAGGUGAAAAGAUUCAAAUAUAGUCUAUAUUAACCUUUUUAAAAUAAACUUAAGUAGACAAAACAGUAUAUAUGAUACCUUUGUAUUUAACAGUAAAAGAAUAUUGGUAAUGCUCAAUUAAAACUAAAGGUAAAUUUUAAUUCAUAAGAGCCCUCAAAAUAAGAACUGAAAAAGAAAUCUCAUUUCAUACUUUUUUAAAAUCUUCAUUUUUUAUGCUAAGAAGCAAACCUUUUCAUGAAAAAGAGGAUUUGGGUGAGUGAUGAAGUUGUUGGCAGUAGGCCACCAAUUUUGGAACUUAGGUAAAUUCCUGAAGGUCAAUUUCCGUAACUGAGGGAACUCAAUGCCGUCAACAUUGUCACUGCAAAAGUGAGUGAGGCAUUCCAGAUCUUGCAGUUUCAACACAUAUAAAUUGGGGAACUUGAUUACUUCAUGUGUCAUUCGAGAGAUGUUGAAUAUAUGUGUCACUAAAUUACAAGCAGAGAGGUGGAGACAUUUCACGUUCUGAAAUUCAUUCGGCUGCAACUCAUUCAACACAUUAUUAGAGCCCUCUCCACUUGAAGUUACAAAUUCACUCUUCUUCAACAGGUGGCAGAUCCAACCAGCCAAUGGGGUGGUCUCCGUGACCUCUAAAGCAAUGCUCUUAUCGUAAUCAUACAUUUUAUCUUCAUAAGCACAACCCACUUUAAUAUUGUACCGUGUCAACUUGGAGGGAAGGACCAACUUACUGUAAGUCACAUCUUCGGAACAUUCAUAUAACGACAGUGCAGUCAAUGCCGAUAAGAAUUCCAGUUCCAUCAAGAUGGAGCAACUACAAUCUUUCACUCCCGUCAAAUGUAGUUCCUCCAAUCGAACUAGUCUUGAUAAGACACCUGUUGAAAUCCUUUUAUCUACUUUAUUCUCAUUCAAAAACUCUAAUACAAUUAACUUGGUCAAAUUUCCUAUCUCCUCUGGCAGCUCAUCUAACCGAGUAUCUCUUAUGCUUAGGAUUUCCAAAUUGACAAGUUUUCCAAUAAUAGAUAUGUCUUCCAAAUCUAAAUUAAUCAGAUGCAGCGUCCUCAAACUCGAUAACCUCUGAAUGGAUGCUGGAAAACGACAAAUGGAGCCCUCAUGAUAUCUACCCAUCAGGCUUAAGACUUUGAGUUCACCCAUGUCAUUAAAAAAAUUAUCCUGUAAUUUGACUGGAUUUCCAGAAAAGAUUUUCAACAUUAGAAGCUUCAGUUUUGGGCAAAAUAUUGGUCUAGGAAGCUCCUCAAAUUCAUUUGCAACUAUGGACAUGUGACAAUAUUGCUCAUAAGUAUCUUUUUUGGGGAACUCUUUUGAGUUCACAUCAUGCCUUACCAUAAAUUUGUGCUCUUCCUCAGAUGCAAUAUAUAUAGCCACGUCACGUAACACAUCAUGCAUUUUGACAUAAUUUUUGUCUGAACCUUGGGAUAACAAGAAACUAUCUUUCAAUAUUUCUAUCAAAAAAAACACCCUAUUUCUUGCAUCUUCUAAAUUUUUCAUUUCCGAAAAAAUGCCAAGACCCUUUCCGUAUCUAAGUAAUUCUUCAAUCCAAAUGUCACUAUCUUCCUCAAAUAAAGAACAAAGCAAAAAUAGGUACCUGGCUUCAACACUUUCAAUGUAAUCAUAGCUUAGCCUCAGAGGCCCAUACACCUUUGUGUGCACUCCAGGGAUAUUUCUUGUAUCUGCAGAACAUAAUUGCUUAAGGGCAUCCUCCCACGAAGGCUUGGUUUUACGCUUUAGUGCUCCUGCAACUGUAAUAAUUGCAAGCGGCAAUCCCUUGCAUUCUUUGGAAACAUCUUUUGCUAUAUCAAGCAGAGAAGGAUCGUCGACUGAAUUACCGACUUUCUCCUUGAAAAGGAUCCAUGCUUCCUCUUCAGGUAAAGUUCCAAUUUCCAUGAUCUUCUGAGCCUUCAUUAUAUCACAAACAGGUCGGAGACGUGUCGUCAAUAUAACUUUGCACCGGUAGUUGUGGUUGCUACCGGUGAAAAUUCCGAGU
rnacentral:lncRNA from 1 species